rnacentral:lncRNA from 1 species
UUUUUUUUUCUUGUUUGCAAAUAUAAUCCUUCCGUUAACAAAUAUAAGAUGUUUUGAAUAGUUCAAGAUGAACUACGUACAGAGUGACGUGAGUGCACAAACACAUUAACNNNNNNNNNNNNNNNNNNNNNNNNNNNNNNNNNNNNNNNNNNNNNNNNNNNNNNNNNNNNNNNNNNNNNNNNNNNNNNNNNNNNNNNNNNNNNNNNNNNNNNNNNNNNNNNNNNNNNNNNNNNNNNNNNNNNNNNNNNNNNNNNNNNNNNNNNNNNNNNNNNNNNNNNNNNNNNNNNNNNNNNNNNNNNNNNNNNNNNNNNNNNNNNNNNNNNNNNNNNNNNNNNNNNNNNNNNNNNNNNNNNNNNNNNNNNNNNNNNNNNNNNNNNNNNNNNNNNNNNNNNNNNNNNNNNNNNNNNNNNNNNNNNNNNNNNNNNNNNNNNNNNNNNNNNNNNNNNNNNNNNNNNNNNNNNNNNNNNNNNNNNNNNNNNNNNNNNNNNNNNNNNNNNNNNNNNNNNUAUGCUGUUUGCCUUGGAACUUAAGAGAUGGUCUCCAAAACCCACUAUGUGCUUAUCCUAAAAUGAGUUACCAUAUCCCCCGGAAAAGUGAAACCUCUAUUACCAUAAGAACCUCAACAAAGCCCCAGAGUAGCAGCAGCAACCAAACCCCCUCAAUCCAAGCCGAGGAAAACAGAGCAGGCGGCGUGGGGCAGCAUAGCACGGCACACAGGACCCACGCCCACAGAGGAUAUACACCACCGCCAGCACCAGCCUACUGUACCCCGCACGCGAGCGAGCCGGGCAUUCAAAAUCUCGCGACCUCCCCAACCCCAAGAACCCAAACCCAAACGCAUCGAUCCACGCCGGCCGCCUCCCCACCCCCGACUCCGUCCGACGGAAUCGAAUCCAGCCCGUCGCCAUCUUUGCCCUCUCGCCGCAAUCAAAACCUUCCUUUCCUUGCCUGUCUGCCGCCAGGAUCAUCACAGCCCCGAACCAACCCCGAUCUCCACCUUGCUUUCCUUUCUUGCCCGCCGCCGCCGCCGCCCGCCAUGGUGCACUGCAAGCAGCCGCGCAGGACGCCCGGCGUCCCCGGGAACGGGGGUCGCGCGCGCGCCGGGGGCGGGGGCCAGGCCGUGGCGGCCGACCCCGGCUACAUGCGACCGACCAGCAGCUCCGGCGCCAGGGCCGGCCGGGAGGUUGCAUCUGCGGCGGCGGUUUCGGCGGCCUCCGCUCCCUCCGCGCAGACGUUGCUGACCAAGGCGGCAGCGCUCGGAGGGAGCACGCCGCUGGCGGCCAGGCAGACCUGCUCCUCCGCCCAGAAGGGCGCCCGCGCCCUCGGCGGUGGCGGCGGGGGCUGCGAGGGGCACCGCGCCUGCCGGUACGCCUACUGCACCUUCAAGGGCCACGCGCCCGCGGCGCCGCCGCUGGGGGCCUUCCUGGCGUCCCGCAGGAGCCUCAUCAAGACGGAGCAGAGCAUGAAGCACAGGGGGGUCUCCGCCUUCCGCAACCCCAGCAGCAAUGCCGCCCGCAAAGGAGACGACGGGCUCUUCGUCCAGGUGGCGUGUCCCGGCGCCCGCCCCAAGACGGCGAGCUCGGGCUCCUGCUGCAGCGGCCUCUCCGCCGAGGAGGUGGAGUCUCCCUACGUCAACUUCGGCCGCCGGAGUCUCCGGGGUGGGACGACGGACAAGUGGGGCGCCUCGGUGGACGGCUCCUGCGGGUCCAGCGACGUCAUCUCGGACGGCUUCGCCGACCUGCCAGGGACGGCGAGCUCUCCCUCUCCCUCUCCCGGACGCAAGGAGCAGACUGGUCAAGAUGAGAGGAAGGCUUCUUGGGUCGAUCAACAAGAAGCAGAGGAGGAGGACUCUGCUGCCUGCUGCAGGUCUGAUAUCUCAGAGGAGCUGGGUCCAAGAUACCAAGGCAACAGCAUGUCUAAAGGUGAAAUUUCUCUUCCUGAAAUCGCUUGUUUCUUUCCAGUUUCAGUUUCCACCACAUGGAAUGAAUUCCAGAAACAACUGCUGACCGUCGGCGAACAAUGUCGCAAUUCUGCAGAUUGCGGCGGCGUUGUCGGCUCUUCACUGGAAUCCUCAAUGGAUGACAUAUCCAGUGCAUUUGGUGGGAUGAAUUUCCAAGAUGCAGGGGCUGAUGCCGCGGCGGCAACCAGCCAGGGAAACAAGCUGACCAUGUCCAGGAGAAGAACACCUAGAGGCGGGGAGCGAAUCCGGGCAUUCAACCCCAGGGCCCCGAACUUUCUUCCGGUGGUGCCUGAUCCGGAUGCUGAAAAGGUUGACCUCAGGCAUCAGAUGACCGAUGAUCGCAAGAAUGCCGAGGAGUGGAUGGUCGAUUAUGCACUCCGGAGGACAGUGAACAAGUUGGCCCGUGCUCAGAAGAGGAAGGUGGAGAUGCUUGUCCAGGCCUUUGAGACUGUUCUGCCACCGGUCCUCGGCGAGAAGAAGUCCGACGACAAGAAAAGCUUUGCCUGCAACUUAUAGGUUUUAGAGGUAAGAACAGCUAGGGGUUAAAAUCAUUUCCAGUAGUAGAAUGCAUUCAUGUGGCACAAAUUGUUGGUAUGCUGAAGAUUUCACUCAUGGCGCGGUGUCGAAUCUGUACUUGCAGUUUGGGGUUCAAGCUGGAGCAGAUGAUGGUUAUUGGGGUUCUAACUUGGUGGUCACUGCGAUAUUUGUGCCAGAGACCUGCUCGGCGAGGAUAGAGAGCUGCUCACCAGCACCUGAGAUCUUGUGCUCAUAGCGCAGUUGUACUCGAGAGCCGCUAGGGGUCUCGCUCACUGAGUCAGCUGGUUAGUGUAGUGGCGUAGUGCAUGUGUACAUAGGUCUGCUGUGCUCAUGCUGAUAUUUUAGCGAUGACAAAAAUGAGACCUGCAAACUGGCAAGAAUAUUCAGAUGUAUUCCUUGCUUGGACAAAGAUCAAUAAAACUCUUAUUGACAGCAUGUGUAGCGAGUGCGUGUCUCAGGAAUCAUGUGUGAUCCUUUCGUGUUUGUUUGCAUUCUCUGUGAUUAUAAUCAGCAAAAGGGAAGUUCCAGUUUUUUGUCCAUCUUAUGGAUGUGAAUGUUUCCAUAUGCUGCCUAUUUGCAAUGUGUUAAGUAGUAACUCCAGAAACACAAUAAGCAAUUAAAACACCUAGUAACCGAUGAUUGCUGAGACUCUACUUGUGUUAUCAAUGCAACAAACUGUUGGUUGCAGGUCUAAUUUGGUGCCUAAUUGAGACAGUAGAACAGAUGGUUCAGACCUGCUGGGGUGUAACGAUGCAGAACAGGCGUGCGUGAUCGAAUGCCAUGUCAGGUAACAAGAGACAGCAGAAGAAUUUUCAAAUAUUCGACAAUUUGGUCCAGAGUUUUCUGGUGCGCACCAGAAAAUCAUUUCCUGGCAAACAAAUAAACAAGAUUUAGCACGCCUGGCCUGGUACUUCUUCAUUCAUCUCAGGUACAACCAAAACAUAGCCCCAGACAAAUGGCACUGAAUAGAAACAGCAAGAAAACGCUCCAAACGGAUAUGACAAUAAAUGGCACUGAAUAGAAACAACAAGAAACGCUCCAAACGGAUACGAGGAGAAGGCAGAUGGAUCAAGCAUGAGUCACCAUGCAUAGAUGGCAUUAACAUUCAAAACCAACAGUCACAAGCCACAACGGGUACAAGGUUUGAUGUUCUCACCAACCUGAAGGAGGGAUGCUCAUGCUCAGCUUGAUAUGCUCCAAUCACACCAACCCCCUGUAACUGAAAGAGAAGCACACAAUUCACUGACAUGGUGUGCAGCCCAACAACUAUUAUGGGCCAACAAAGGAUAUAUCAGCAUGCAUUUAACCUCACAUUAACAGCAGUAGGGCAUAGCAACUCUGAGGAGUGGAUCAGGUCCUUCCGUCGAUCACAUUUUAGUGCAUUUUUCUCUGCACAAAACGUGGAAAGGACAAGAAGUGGGUAAAUGCUCCAUAGAAUAUCUAAUGAUUUUCUGGGAACGUGCAUUUUCAGUUUACCACAUUGUCAGUAUGGCGAAAUGGCAGAAUGUUUCAAAACUUAUAACUAGCAAAAGCAGAAUGUCUAAUGAUAUCUUCACUGAGUACAGCAAUUAUCCAGACUUUCCCACGAAUACCGCAAUGGAUCAAAUCAAUGGAAAUACCACUACGGGUACACUAGCAAAUGCCAAAAGCCUCAAGUAAACCAGAGCAUGGUAAAUGAAUAACACGAUGAUGCGAAACUCAGGAAGAAAAAUAUUACUAUUGUCAUUCAUGAUGGGAAUUUACAGGAGUUCAUGCCAAAGAAAGGUUACACCAUAAAGAAAAUCUUAAUUAGGCCCUGUUCGGUACCACUCCGCUCCACAACUCCGGGAGCGGAGUUGACGGAGCUGCAGUGUAAAACGGAGGAGUUGCAGUUUCCCCGCUCUGCAGAUUUCGGGAGUGGAUGAUUACCGAACACGGCCUUAGUAUCACAGGAUUUAUAACUACAUCCUUCAGAAGAACUCGGUCUAAGUGAUUCUACCAGACUUCGAAACCAGUGGUGCUUGCAAUUUAAUUUUUCUGACCUUGGUUAUGGAACUCGUUUCAACUCUUCAGAAACUUGAACAUCUGGGCAGUCGUGCAACAAGAAUAGUUUGGAGUUUGCUUUCCUCUGAUCGACGAGUAUCCUCCAGAAUACUCUCUUUAAACAGCUGCAGCGCACCCUCUGCUGAAAUUUCUAGCACAGAGUUGUUCAAAUCUUCAAGUUUUCCUCUACGCUGGGCAUCGAGCAGCAACUUUUCUUUUAGACUGUCGGGAAGACUAGCUAAUGCACUGCUUGAAGGACAACAAAAGGAAUAUAUAAUAAAUAAGAACGACACAAAGGAACUAUAUACAAGAAGCAAGCUAUUCGCAUGGCAGGAAUGCAACUUACUACUACCUAGUAAUCCCCAGAACGAAAUCCCACCCCACCUGUAUCCGACAUGCACAGAUUGCCUAUGCCCAAGAUUGAAGCCCUCUUGGGCAGCGCCCUUCUGCCCUUCGGUUAUGACUUCCCUAUAGCCCAUCUACAGAGAAACCAGAAGCCCUAUCGUCAAAGUUCUUUGAUUGAUAUCAACGCAAAUUCACAACUAACUGAUAUGAGUGCAACUAACUGUUGGUUGCUGGUCUACUUUGGUGCCAAACUGAGACAGUAGAACAAGAUGGUGCAAACCUGCUGGGCUAUACAGUGCAUAACAGGCUAACCGAAUGCCAUAUCAGGCAACAAGAGGCGGCGGAAGAAUCUCCAAAGGUUCGAUCAUUUCGUCCAGGGAUUUCUGGUGCUGCGCACCAAACCAUUUCAAAUUAUGUCCUGCAAUGUCAUGAGUAUAAGAUGCAGCCUUGAACAAUGCAGACAGACAAAAAGAGUCUGCAUGCGGGCCUGGUACUUCAUUCAACUCAGGAGCAACCAAGAAAUAGUCCCACAUGAAACGAAAUAAAUGGCACUGAAUAGGAACAACAAGAAACACUCCAAACGGAUAUGUGAAGAAGGCAGAUGGAUCAAGCAUGAAUCACCAUGAAUAUAACACUCAAAACCAACAGUCACAAGGCACAACGGAUACAAAGGUUUGAUGCUCUCACCAACCUGAAGCAUGCAUCACCAUGAAUAGACGGCAUUAACAUUCAAAACCAAGAUGUUCCAAUCACACCAACCCCUGUAACAGAAAUAGAAGCAGACAAUUUACUGACAUGGUGUGCAGUCCAAUAACUACCGUGGACCAUCAAAGGACAUAUCAGCAUGCAGUUAACAUCCCAUUAACAGCAGUAGGUCAUAGCAACUAUGAGAGUGGAUCAGGCCCUUCGGUUGAGCAGAUUUGAGUGCAUUUGCUGAAGCCAGCCGAUGCAAACUAGCAUUUUCUGUCUGCACAGAACAUGAAAAAGAGAAAAGUUGAUAAAUGCUCGUUAGAUAUGAAAAACAAUGAGACGAGAGGUUUCAUCAAAUAUGCAGUAUGCCAAUUUCAACAAAUAUACUUCUACAAUACUUAGCAUAAUUGUCAGUAUUACGAAAUGCCAGAAAUUAUCAGAACCUAUACACUAUCAAAAGUACAAUAACUAGUGAUAUCUGCACUGAGUGCUGAGUGUAACAAUUAUUCAUACUUUCCCAAGAAUAUAUCAAUGAAGAAUACCAAUACACUUCAUUAGCAAUUGCAGAUGCCAAGGGUUAAGUAGACCAGAGCAACGGUUGGGAAAGGAAGAACAGAAAGAUGCAACAGUCACAAAGAAAUAUAUUACUAUAGUCAUUCAUAAUGUGAAUUUACAGGAGUUUCAUAGCGUAAAAUGGGCGACAUGAUCUACUGCAUCCUUAGUAUCACAGUGUUUACAACUGCAUCCUUCAGAAGAACUCAGUCUAAGUGAUUCUACCAGAGAUAAAAAAUCAGUGGUGCUUGCAAUUUCACUUUCACUUUCGACCUUGCUUAUGGAGCUCGUUUCAACUCUUCAGGAACUUGAACAUCUGGGCAUUCGCGCAACAACAGCAGAAGAUCAUUUGGAAUGGUUUGAAGCCUGCUUUCCACUAGCGGAGCAUUAUCCUGAAUAAUACUCUCAUGGAACAUCCGCACUGCAGCCUCUGGUGAAAUUUCUUGCACAGAGUUGCGCAAAUCUUCAAGUUUCCCUCUAUGCUGGGCGUCUAGCAGCAACUUUUCUUUUAGACUAUCCGGAAGACUAGCCAAUGCACUGCUUUUUUUAAGGACAAAAAAAAAAAACAAUAAGAACAGUAUAUAAGAGGAAGUCCAUAAAGAAAACUGUAGUUGGCAUGAGCAGAAAUCCAAUUCACCUAGUAAUUCCCCGAACAAGACCCCACUUGUAUCCUUCAGGCGCAGAUUGCCUAUGCUCAAGAUUGAAGCCCUCUUGGGCAGCGUCUUUCCGCCCUUCGGAUAUGCCUUCCCUGUAGCCCAUCUACAGAGAAACCAGAAGAGCCUCACCGUCAAACUUCCUGAUAUCGACGCAAACUCAUGAUUCAUGAUUAAUCAACACCCAUGGAAGUCAAAAUAAUUAUAUAUUACCUUAUGAAGCUGGUCCUGCAAGUGGGCCCAUUCUGUGUGUAAGCUGGAACCAUGUCCUGGAGAAUCUGAAUAAUCACACCAGGAGGAGCCAUCGUCCGCAGCAGCAUCUUCACCAUUGCCUGAAUCGAAAUCGGUGGGGGAGAAGACUAGCUGUGAUGUCAUGGAAUGCUACUAAUUUUGAAGUUCAAACAGAGCCUACAUUGUUUCAUUAUAAGCAGAAACUGUAUCCAGUUAACAUAUAUAGUACAUGGCAACAAAAGACAGACGACAUAAGGUUGCAAAAUCUGGUGAUACUGUACAUGAGAACAAGGCUAGGGCAGUACCAUGCCAAUGCCAAUAGGUUCCUUCCUGCCUCGAUGGUGGUGCCUCCAUCGAGAAACCAACGUGCACCUGAAACAAACAUGGAGCACCAAGGAGAAUGGUGUCAGUUGACAGGCAACAACUUUGAUUUUCUCUAUAAGUUCAUCCGCCCCCAUCCAUCCCGAAAGCCAGAGCUAGCGCUUGAUGAAGUCGCACGGCUCGUGCAGCGGGAUUAGCAAGCAAGAGGAAGACGGGAGUCCGGGAGAGGACGGAGCCUUACCUGACGGCCGGCGGAUUGAGUGCUCGAUGGGGACGGCAAGGCCGGGGGUGGAGGGGGCGCGUGGGCUCUACGGGGAAGGCGGCGACGGAGAUCCGCGGGCAGGACGACGCCGGGCGGGGGGAUGGCCGGCGUGGGGGGCUACACGAGGAGGCGACCGGCGGCGGCGUCGGGAGAGCGGCGACGGCCGACGGGACAGAAGGCUGGUGUUCUUUUCCACUUCCUUUUUUUUUCGUAUAGUUUCGAAAGAGAGACGAACACAAACACGAAUCGGAUGUUUAUUUGUCACGGAUACGGAUGUUGUACUUCCUCGUUCUAUACUUUCUUUAUUGAGAAAAAAAAUAUGUCUAACUUUGACUGUUAUUUUAUAAAUAAAAUAUGAGUUAUAUGCCACAAAAAUUAUGCAAUUGAAUGCACAUUUCAAAUAAUUUGUCAAUAAUAUAUUUUUGAUAACAUGUAAUCUAUAUUUUUUUGACCGAGGUUAUAAGUCUAAAUUUUGAAAAAAGUGCCCUUGUAUAAUAACAAAAGAAAUAUAAUCCUUUUUCCGUUUGGUAUUUUGUACUCUCUCCGACCGGAAAUAGUUGACGGAGAAAUGGAUGUAUCUAGAUGUUUUUAGUUUUAAAUACAUCCAUUUUUUAUCCAUUUCUUUGAUAAGUAUUUUUACAACUUUAACAGUGUGCCUACAAACCCUGUAAACAACAUACCUAUGUUUUAUUUUAGACUAACCACACCGUUUAUUUAUGGGGAUGUUACGCGUUAGCUAAUGGAUCUUUUAAAGAUCCACCAUCUCGCCAGCCGUGCUUAUUGUAAUUUUUAUCAUUGCAACAAGACCUUUGUUGCCCUUCGCAAAAAAAAGACCCGUCUUAAAAAAUAAAUAGUAUCGAGGCUGCACAUAUGUUUUUUUUUUGCAACGAGAACCUUGUUGCAACUGCAACCGGGUAUUGCAAAACAAUUUUUUGUGAGGCUGCAGAAAGGAUUUUUUUUCCAACAAGAACCUGUUGCAACUGCAACAGGACCCUUAUUUCAAAAGCAUCCCCGACUCGUGGUGGUGUCCAUCUGCCAUCGAAACAAGACCUUUGUUGCAAUUGCAACAUGACAUUUGUUGCAAAAAACAUCUCCCCUCGCGGAUCUAAGAUUUGAAGGUCGCCACUGCAGGGACCUACAUCGUUGUCGUUGCCACCAACCGCAAACCAUCCACCAUGAGGUCCCAUCCCGAGCGCCGACAACAUCCGCUACCUGUCGCGUUGGCUGGCGAGCUUGCCGGAGCAGCAACCUUGUACAUUGGCAUCCUCUUGGAGCAUCGGUGCCUAGGACUCGCAACGCCAACACUGUCAGUCCGGCACCCUUAUCGACCUUACAACACUCCCUGCUUGGAGGUGGAGGAGGAGAUGUGUAACGGCGCGAGAGGUCACGUGAGAGACUGGGAUAGACAACAUGCCAUGGAGAUUGAGGAUGCGGAGUUUAACAAGAUCUUAAGGAUUGGGUUGUUGUAGAGGAAUAUAGAGAGCACAUCUACACCGUGUGAUCAAAUUAGAUCGGAUGGUAGCAAGACCGGCUGACGCUGCCGUCGUUUUCAGACGAUCGAGCCUAAUUGUUUCCCUUUAUUUAUUUCUUAAUAAUGUUUAGACGAAUACAAUUGAGGUCAGGAGGUUGUAGGAGCUAACGGCGCGAGCCACAAAGAGACUAAGCUGCGUUGUUUGGUCGUCGUUUGGCACAUAGUGAACGAAGCGAGCGAUCAAACUCGGCCGGACUAUUUACAUGUUUCUACAAGGUUAGAGAUAUCUUGGAGCUUUCACUCCCGCCCUCGAACGAACUCUCAUCUAGGGUUUUCCCGCCUCUCACCGGUGCCGCUGUCGGUCCGCCUCGUCUCCUGGACCAUGAAGGUGUGGUGGAUCCCGACACUUGCCGACGAGAGGGCUCUGUUUUUAAGUGCAUUGUAGAGUUUUGUUAGGGUUUGUGCCAUGCCCAAGAAGAUGAGGCGACCGCGGCUUCUUGAAGAUGGAAUAAGGUCCUCCUUACCUAGCCCCCAUCAUGGUGAUGUUUCAAGCAUCGUCGCAAAAAAAUAUUUCUACAAGGUUUCAGAAUUGGUUUUUUCCUUUUCAUCGGUUUCUGUGUUUUUAAAAUUUAUUAUUCAUUCUUUUCUUCUUCGUUUUAUUUUUUAGUAAGUUUAAAAUUUUCAAAAAAUAAAAUCAAAAUCAUAAGAAAAUGUUUAUAAUUUCAAAAUUUAUUCAAAAUUUCAAAAAAAUAGUCAAAAUUUUAUUUUUUAUGGUUUCCAACAAUUUUUCGUGCUUUUCAGGAUUAAAAAAUUGUUCGAUUUUUUUGAAAAAAUGUUCAAAACUAUUCUUAAUUUUAUUUUGUUUUAUGUUUUAAAAAUAUAACGAAAUUUUACAAAUUCUAUUUUUUUUAAAAAAAGAGUUCUGAAUUUCGAAAAUUCUUUACAAUUUCAAGAAAUAUUCGAAUUCCAAAUAUCUUGGAAUUAAAAAAUUGCUCAUUUUCCGAAAAAAUGUUGAAAAUUUCAAAUGAUGUUCGUGUUUGCAAAAAAUGUUCAUUAAUUUAAAAAACAGGUUUUCAAAAAACAAAGUUCAUCCUUUUCCAAAACUUGUUCGCAAAUUCGGGUACCGUGCGUUAUUUUGGUGUGGAUGGAUUAGGCUGAGAUCUGUCGCCAACCUCAUUUUCCCCUAGGAUCAUGAGUGGUUGUAGCACCUCUAGACCUUGGUUCCAGCAACAACGACAUCGUUGUUUCAGCACCCAACAUCGCCAGUUACAGGACUAUGAGUCUCCGGUUCCAGUAAACAGAGAUGACGGUAGCAACAAACGUUGUGACAUACGGCCGUCGCCGUCCUAGCAGCUCGCGGGCACUGCAGAUGCAACAUCUCGCCAUGGGCCGUUGCCGUUUGUAGCAACCCGUGAUGCAGGUUCCAACAUCCACAUUGAUUUGGUUCCAGCAAAAAACCGCCAGUGGAAACUUCGGUAGCACAGCACACCGCUAGUUACAGCAAAAAAAAAAACACCGGUACAAACUUCGGUAGCACAGCACACCGCUGGUUCCAGCAAAAAAAACCACCAGUACAAACUUCGGUACACAGCACACCGCUGGUUCCAGCAUCUGGUGACACUGAUUCCAGCAUCCCAUGCCACCGUUAGUAGCAUUUUGCACUGCUGGUUACAGGUUGGUCGUUUGCAGGCACACAUCUCCGGUCACCGCGGUCGCCAUUGCCGCAGCUCUCAGAGCAUCUCCACUAGCCUCCCCAGGACACCUUUUUAGGCUCGGUUUUAGGCUCGAACGGCACUUUUCGCCGAAAAACGGCCCAGCCACGCCUCCAACGCCCCCCAGGAUGUCAAAAUAGUGCCGGCAAACCCAGGCGAUACCCGGCGCGCUGGGGUCUCUUGGAGGCGCCGGCGAAAGUUUCGGCGAAUCGUGUCUCAACACAUGUCCUUUUUCUUGGCCCACUUAAUCAUUCUCCUCACAAACUUUUGCUUGGGGUGGGGUGUGACUGGGAAGAUGCAGAUGACCCCCAAGACACCAACUUUUUUGGUUCGGUGAUGUUUUUGGGGGUUCCAACGGCUGGAGAUGCUCUCAGCAAGUGGUCGCGCAACGAGUUGCAGUACGUGGCCGCGGUGGUUGUAGCAUGCAACCGUGUGGGUCGUCGUCCCUCCUAGAGCUCACAGGCCAUGGUUGCCCCCUGCUUGGAAUCAUCCGGAGUCCGGAGAGGGAUCGCGGCAGCCGCCGGUGGUGUGCGCUGGAUUCAUCAGUAGAAAUAGAAAAAGAUUUAGAUGAGGAAGAAGGGACGUGGUGCGGAUUGGAAGUGCUGCUGUUGGCCGCAGGAUCGCAUAUGAUCCAACGCGUCAGACGCGCCCGGCCAAGUCUUUGGCCGGUCGGUGGGCAGAAAAGUUUCCCUUGAUGAUUUGUAAGGUGCAUGCACGCACGCAUGCAUUAUUUAAGUGUGAGCGAGCUAGAGCGGUUUGGAGAGCCCUCGGUUUUGCAUGAAAUUCAUUAUGGAUAUGGCUGUGCUGGUUGAUACUACUUAGAUCAGAAGCCUUAUGCAGACCCAGCUGUAUUAUCUGAAAUUAUCGCUGUUACUUUUUUUUUUGAUAGCGAAGGAUGAUCGCAAGGAGGAAGUUCACUCUCAAGAACGAACCGGACUGGCUGUUAAUGCCCUGGCAGUGAAUUUUGUAGAGGACAGCUUAAUUCCGCAUCUAAACUGAAGCGGUGGAAAAUGCGACUGUCAGGAUGUAAAACAAUGAUUUGGGAGAACCAACUCAACCCUCUAGGGGUGACUUAUCUCAUAUAUAUAAUGGGUGUGUUACAAUAGGUACAAUAUACGUACACAAAUACAGAAGCUAUACAUAGUCUAACACCCUCCCUCAAUCUUAGCCACUUUCUAAAGAACUGAGAAGGGUAAGAUUGCGCCUACAAGCGUCGAACUGUGGUAAAGGCAAAGGCUUAGUGAAGAUGUCUGCAAGUUGAUCUUUGGAAGAGAUGAACUUGAUCUGAAGUUGCUUCUAUGACACACGUUCCCGUACAAAGUGAUAGUCCACUUCAAUGUGUUUCGUUCGGGCAUGAAAUACCGGAUUUGCAGAAAGGUAUGUAGCACCGAUGUUAUCACACCAAAGGAUAGGAGGCUGCGGUUGAGACAUACCCAACUCCUGAAGCAAAGAUUGCACCCAAAUAAUCUCUGCAGUAGCAUUAGCCACAGCCUUAUACUCAGCUUCAGUACUACUACGUGAUACAAUAGCCUGUUUCUGAGCACUCCAGGCGAUCAAGUUAGAGCCAAAGAACACAGCAUAGCCCCCCGUGGAUCGCCUGUCAUCCGGGCUGCCAGCCCAGUCCGCAUCAGAGUAGGCUGAAAGAACCUGAGAGGGAGUCGGCCGAAUAUGCAUCCCAAAAGACACUGUGAAUUGGACAUAACGCAGGAUGCGCUUAACAGCAGCCCAAUGAGUGUCGCGGGGAGCCUGAAGAUACUGACAAACCCUGUUGACAGCAUAAGAAAUAUCUGGCCUCGUGAUCGUCAAGUACUGAAGCCCACCAACAAUACUCUUGCACUCUGUGGCAUCCGCAGAAGACAGAAGCGCACCAUCAACGGCAGUGAGCUUUUCGGUAGAUGACAUGGGUGUGGUAGUCGGUUUGCACUUAAGCAUCCCAGCUCGCUGCAAUAAAUCCAAGGAGUACUUCUUUUGUGUCAUAACAAGACCAUCAGCACGAGAGGUAACCUCAACCCCAAGAAAGUAGUGAAGCUUCCCAAGAUCUUUGACAGCAAAAGCAGCACGAAGAGAGCGAACAAGAGCAUCAGCAGCAUACCGAGAGGAACUGACAAGAAUAAUAUCAUCCACAUAGACCAAAAGAUACAUAGUGACUUCUGGCUUCUGUAGAAGAAAUAAUGAGGAGUCAGCAGUGGACGACACAAACCCAUGAGCACGAAGAGCUGAGGCAAGACGAGCAUGCCAGGCACGAUGAGCUCGCUUCAGACCAAAGAGCGCUUUGGUGAGACGGCAGAUGUGAUCAGGACGAUCAGGAUCAGAGAAACCAGGCGGCUGUCGCAUAUAAACCUCUUCCCCCAAGAAACCAUGAAGAAAGGCAUUCUGCACAUCAAGUUGACGAAGAGACCAACCGCGAGUGACAGCAAGAGAAAGAAGAAGCCGAAUGGUGGUAGGCUUGACAAUGGGACUGAAGGUGUCCUCGUAAUCAAGACCAUAGCGCUGCCGAAAUCCUCUAGCAACAAGGCGCGCUUUAUAACGCUCAAUAGAUCCAUCCGAGUGCUUCUUCACUUUGAACACCCACUUGUAGUCAAUAACAUUAACCCAUGGUGGGGGAGGAACAAGAGUCCAUGUCUCGUUACGAAGAAGAGCAUGAUACUCCUGCUCCAUAGCCUCUCGCCAAUGAGGAACACGCAUGGCAGCCUGAUACGAGCGGGGCUCAGAAGACGGAUCCGCAACAGCAGCAGCUAGACAUGCUGCCAACCAAGCAACAGUACCAUCCGUACGUUCCUUUGGUCGAAAGAUACCACUGCGACUGCGUGUAUGUGGACGUAACACAGGAGCCGUCGAGGUCGAGGAAGCAGCCGGCGAGGGGCUGGGCGACGAUGAUGAGGAGGAAUCAACCGGCGACGAGGAGCCAGGCGAUGGAACCAGGUCCUCCAUCAUGGCAGACGGCUCGGUGGAUCCAGAGCCCGCCAGCGGGCUAUCCAACAGAGCCGCGGGCGAGGCCGGUGGAGCGGACCGAGCCACGGGCGAUGCCGGCGUAGCGGGCCGAGCCCCAGGCGAUGCCGGCGUAAUGGGCCGAGCUGCAGGCGAGGCCGGCGUAGCGGGCUGAUCCGCUGGAGACGCGGGCGAGGCCGACGUAGCGGGCCGAGCCGCGGGAGACGCAGGCGUACCAGGCCGAUCAGAGGACGAGGCCGGUGCCUCAGGUGCAUCCACCGAGCAUGCAUGGGCACACAGAUCGAGGCCAUGCAACGUCGCGGUGUGAUCGAUGUGCACAGCAAAGGGCGGCGGCGAUGAUGAUGGGGAGUCCUCCAAAAGCUCCAAACGAGCCCCACAUCCGGUUCCUGCACCAUGGUUAGGCAAUAACAUAGGAGAGUAUGCAACAUCAUCAAAUUGGUCAGAGGCAAGAGAGGAUGAAUGCAUGGAUGGAGGGGCAUCUGUGGACACAGGUAGAUUGGCAAACGGAAAGACACGCUCAUCAAACACUACAUCCUGAGAAAUGUAGACACGAUUAGUGGGAACAUGAAGACAUUUGUAACCUUUAUGAAGGGAACUAUAGCCAAGAAAGACACAUUUUUUGGACCUAAAUUCCAGCUUGCAUUUGUUAUAGGGUCGAAGAUGCGGCCAGCAAGCACACCCAAAUACUUUAAAGAAAGUAUAAUCGGGUUGUUCAUUAAGGAGAAGUUCAAGGGGAGUCUUCAUGUUGAGAACACGUGUGGGAGUACGGUUGAUAAGAAAGCAUGCAGUGGUAAAAGCAUCACUCCAAAACCGGAAAGGAACCGAUGCAUGGGCCAAAAGAGUGAGACCAAUCUCAACAAUAUGACAAUGCUUACGUUCGACGGAACCAUUCUGCUGAUGAGUAUAUGGACAUGCUAAACGGUGAGCAAUCCCAAGCGACUGGAAGAAGGAGUUGAGGUUGCGAUACUCGCCACCCCAGUCCGACUGAAUAUGAACAAUUUUAUGCUUGAGAAGACGUUCAACAUGUUUUUGAAACUGAACGACAAUAUCAAACGCAUCAGAUUUACGUUUAAUAAGAUAGAGCCAAGUAAAACGACUGUAAGCAUCCACAAAACCAAUAUAAUAGUUAUGACCACUGACAGACGUUUGGGCAGGGCCCCAUACAUCCGAAAAAACAAGUUCUAAAGGAUGUUUCACCUCACGGCUAGACUCCGAAAAAGGAAGUUGAUGACUCUUCCCCUGCUGACAAGCAUCACACACUGCUACAUCAUUAUUGCUAGAGACACUAGGAAGCUCAUGACAACGCAAAACAUGACGAACGAUAGGUGUGGCAGGAUGACCAAGACGAGCAUGCCACUGUGACGACGAGACGCGAACUCCACUGAAAACCCGAGAGACUCCAGGAUGCUCCAGACGGUAAAGGCCCUGGUAGAGACGCCCACUAAGCAGAACGGCCCUCGUGUCCUGAUCCCUAAUAAAAAGAUCAAACGGGUGAAAUUCACAAAACACAUUAUUGUCAUAAGUGAGUUUAGGAACUGAAAGGAGAUUAUGCGUCACAGAUGGUACUCUAAGAACAUCACGAAGCUGAAGCCUCCUAGUGGCAUGACUAGUGAGAAGGAAUGCUUGACCAAUAUGGGAGAUGUGCAUACCUGCUCCGUUGGCGGUGUGGAUCUUAUCGGAACCGUGAUAGGGCUCGCGAGGAUGAAGCUUCCCCAUCUCAUUCGUCAGAUGCUCCGUCGCACCAGAGUCCAUGUACCAGUGCGGAUCAACGGAGUAGGACUGAGUAUGGCCCUGAGGCUUCUGCGGCGCCGGGCGGUCGGCCAUAGCCACCUGACGCGCAGUGUUGCGCGUAUCCUUGCCGUCAUUUCCGAGACCGAGGAAACUCUUCUGAAAACGACGAUGGCACUUGGAUGUCCGUCAAGACCACAGAGCUGGCAGACCCGCCGACCCCCAUCACCAGGUAGCGUCAGAGUGGGGGUGGACGAGGCCGGAGGGAGCGGCGCGGGCCCCUUGCCCGAGGCGGAGGACUUAGCGCCGCUGGAGGGGCGACCACCUCGGUAGACCGCAUUGGCGGAGGAGGAGCCGCGACUGCGGUUGGCACGGCGCGCCUCAACGCGCUGCUCAGUAAGAAGAAGCCGAGAGUAGACCUCAUGCGCCACCAUGGGGUCGUGUUGCCGCACUCAUUAAUGAUCUCAACUAAGCCAUCAUACUCUUCGUCGAGGCCGUUGACGAUGAAGGAGUUGAACUCAGAAUCGGUAAGCGGCUGUCCAAUGGAUGCCAAUGUGUCAGCAAGAGCCUUGACCUUGUUGUAGAACUCCGUUGCCGUGGAAUCAAGCUUCUCACAGGCGCCAAGCUCGCGACGGAGGGCACUGACCCGGGCUUACGACUGUGACGCAAAAGAGCGCUCAAGGAUGGUCCAAGCCUCAUGGGAAGUCUUCGCGAAGACGAUGAGCCCGACAACAGCCGGAGUGAGCGAACCCUGGAUGGAGGAGAGGUUCGCCUGGUCCUGCCCCAUCCAGACACGGUGUGCCGGGUUGUAAACCGGGCCGUUCACGCUGUCCACCAGCGCGGGAGGGCAAGGAAAAGUGCCGUCGACGUAGCCAAGCAAGUAGUGGCUCCCAAGGAGCGGAAGAACCUGCGCACGCCAGAAGAUAUAAUUGUCGGACGAGAGCUUGACGGUGAUGAGGUUGCCGAAGUGAAACGGUGGAGGCACCUGCCGGAGGCGCGUACGCCAUGGGGGCAGGGGCGGGCGGAGCGGGCGGGACCACGGGAUUGGAACCUGCGGGCGGCGCCAGCGAGUAUGCCCUGUAGAGGGAGGCAACGGGCGCUGCCGGAGUGAAUCCCGCCUGAGGCGCGGAUGGCAUGAGGCCCGCCGUGACAGCCGACGAGGUGGCCUCGGGCGCGAAGGCCAGAGGCGCGAUGACGCCGGACGACGGGGCAGGUGAAGAGGCGCUCGACGUAUGAACAGUCAGCGCAAGCCCCGGCGAUGAAGGAGCCGGAGAGUUGUUGGAGAAAAACGAGCCAACGCUCCUGGUCCCGAGCUGCGGCGGCCGCAUGGUGGCCGAGUCAAGCGGGAGCGAGAGGAGGGCGGCGAGCGAGGCCGGGAGAAACCCGGCAGAGGAGGAGCUGGAGGCGGCAUCACCCGAUAUGGCGGUGGCGGCGGCGUGAUGGAGGGGCGGCGGCGGGGUUAGGGUUUUGCGGAAGCGUGGGUCGUAAUUAGGUCUGUUACCAUGUAAAACAAUGAUUUGAGGGAACCAGCUCAACCCUCUAGGAGCGGCUUAUCUCAUAUAUAUAAUGGAUGUGUUACAAUAGAUACAAUAUACGUACACUAAUACAGAAGCUAUACAUAGUCUAACACAGGACAGCUACGUUGAAUGCUGAUAAUAAUAAUAAUAAUAAUAAAAAGGGUUGGUCCACUCGUGCAUGCGGUCGACGGAUGUACGCGCGGGAGAGGAAAGAGAAGCGCGGUACUUCGAUACCUUCCUGCCAAGAAUCAUGCAUGUUACUUUCUCGGUCUCAAAAUAAGUGUCUCGUCAAAGUUGGAAAACAGACGGGUUCAUCAUCCGGUGUAAAACUGAAGAAGAUGACUACAGGUUGUUGCUCUUGCCCCAAUGCCCGGCCGAUUUGCGUUCUCGAGGACUAGGCGUGCCCAAGUAGAGCGCCAAUGGAGCAGCAGACACCGCCGGGGAGUAACCAAACGCUUGUGCCUGACAUUGUUCGCCCACCGGAGGUGCUCCUGUAACCGGGAGCUGCUGCCGGCGACGACGAUGAGCGGCCGGGACCGGGACGAACGACACUCGACCAUCGUAGUUGCAGUCGAGCCAACGAGGCUGCUCCUUGCUCGCCUCAAACACCAGCUCUCGUUGCCCAAAUUCAAGGCCGCUUUCCAUCUUGCGAAGGUACAGCCCGCGGUCGCUCAACAGAACGUGCCCCCUUGCCAAGCUGCCCUCUCCAGCUUCGGCUUCAGGAAACCACGCGUCCCACUCGCAGUGUCGGCCGUAGGUCAUCACGCAAGGCGUCGCCGAGUCCACCAGCCUGCACAACUUUGCCAUCUCCGGCCUUGGGGCUUUCAGCCGCAGGCGCACGGAAGCCUCCGACGUGAUCUCCUCUGUCGCCAGAUUGAAGCGCGCGAGCUUCUCAUCUCGCCCGUGCUCCUGAUGGCCUCGCGUGGGCCAGUAUACCGACCCUUGGACAUACACGGGAUCACCGUAUGCCCGGCCGUGCGCGGCGCGGUCCACAUGCAGCCUCGUCCAGCCCACGCCUCCUCCGAUGGUGUACACGUGCAGCUCUUCGUCGUCGACGGUCUCUCCCGCGCGUAGGGGCGGGGCGCUGUAUUUGAGGUAGUUAUGGUGCACGAUCUUGUAUCGCCUGGUCGUAGCGUCGUAGCCGAAGCAGUAGGCCCCGGGGUUGACGGUCCACCUUAGCCCGGAGGCCUCCGGUGGCAGCGGCAGCGCGAGCGACUCGCCGGUGGACGGCUCUACGAUCUUGAUGCGGCCCUGGCCGGCCUCCAGGAAGCAGAGCAGACCGUCGCAAGCGCCUACCAUCCUGUCCCACACCCCGGCUGUGAGCUCGGCCGUGAGCCGCCAAUGCUUAUCGAAGAGGAAGGCCCGGGCGUUGCGCGGAUUUUCAUGGCUGCCGUAGGUGAAUCCAGGAAAGAAGACGAUGGUGUGUGUCGGAGGCGCCCGUGACCCGUGGAUCAAGUGCUCCUGGAUCGAUGAACGAUGGGUCGGCGAUGAUGUCCCGCCAUUCUUUGCAGACACGUCGGAGGCGGCGGCGGUCGCUCCCCGGGAGGCGGACCAGGAUGCUGGCGAGGACGUCUCGCGACAGGCAGACGGCGGUGUAGGCCGUUGGCUGUUUCUUGGAACUCCGGCAACGCCGACGCCGACGCUGAUGCAACGCAAUUCGCAUCCACCUCCAGGACCUCCAUCGAAGAUGGCAGAUGAAUCUCAUGGUGACUGAUACCUUACGUGUGGAUGCAAUUCAUGGUCACAGACUCACAGUCGAGAAUCGGGAGAUUGAUAUAACAUGCCAACAUAAACGGAGUCUUUGUGCCGGACGAUUUGGUAGAAUUCGUUAACAUGUUGGGACAAGAUUCGUUACCAUAUAGGACUAGUAUAUGGGAGUAAAUAUAGAUAGGCUUGGUGCUCAAGUGGGUCCAGCCAACAACUCACGUGUUAGCCGCAAUAAAUCUAAAAUCAAGAUUUUUUUAUUUAAAAAAUCAAUAUUUUUGUAUGACGUUGUUUAUUUUUUACGGCAUUUAUACGGCGUUGUUUGCCUAAUGCUAUUCCAUGCCAAUAUGUUCUAGCAAAUCGCCACAUUUCCACGCCCGCCAAUGCCUAGUCCGUAAGGUGCAUGCAAAAGAUGUUGGACACGCAUUAUUUCAUGUGAGCGAGCUAGAGCCGUUUGGAGAGCUCUCGUUUUGUAUGAAACUAUAGAUACUAGAAAGGUUGUGCAUGCUUUGCUGCGUCUUUUGGGUUGUCGGGAUUUCAUAAAAACAAUUCUUUGGUUUGGCGCGCGAGGGGGAUGACGAUGUAAGUUUUUUCUUGGGUGUGGUUAGGCCUCAGUCGACUGAGCCUUAACCAAGUCUUAGUCAAGUUACACCAUAUGUAACCACACAAAAAACUGAAAAGAAAAAUUUGCACAGAUCUCAAUGCAAGAUCUUGGAAAAUAGUGCGAAAAGAAAAAAUAUAUAUGAUUUACGGUUUUACUAGUAGAACCCUAGUGCGUUGCCACGGGCUACAAUAAAUAUAUAAAUGAAUCAAACAAAUAAUUAAUGUCUCUUAGUAGAAAACAGGGCUUUGGUCCUGGGCAGAUUAGAUCAUUAGUCAUCAGUCCCGGUUCGAGAGGCUAGGACGCCGGCCGGGCCUCGGCAGGCAUCAGUCCCGGUUGGUUUCUGGAGCCGGCACUAAAGGGUAGGCCAUGUCCCGGUUUUAGACACAAACCAGGACUAAAGUUUUGCCUAUAUAUAUCCACGCCCCCCCUCCCAUCUCCUCUGGUUUUUGGCCCUGGAAGGGUGGGAGGCGGGCUAGGAUGCUGGCGAGGACGUCUCGCGGCAGGCACACGGUGGUGGUGAUCGUCGGCUGUUUCUUGGGACCCUGCUGGCGUCGAUGCCGAUGCAACGCAAUUCGCAUCCACCUCCAGGUCCUCCAUCUUCUUGGAUGGCAGAUGGAUCUCAUGAUGACUGAUAGAUCCCUUAAAUUACGUGUGGAUGCAAUUCUUGGUCACAGUUGGGAAUCGGGAGAUUGAUUGAUAUAACAUCCCAACAUAAACGGAGUCUUUGUGCCGGACGAUUUGCUAGGGAGAAGAUUCAUUACCAUAUAGGAGUAGUAAGUAAAUAGAUAGGCUUGGUGCUCAAGAUUGUUAGCCGCAAUAAAUAAAUCUAGAAUCAAGAUUGUUUUGAAGCUUAAAAUCAAGAUUUUUAUAUGGAGUUGUUUAUUUUUUAUGGCAGUUAUCAGACGUUGUUUGCGUAGUAAUGCUAUUCCAUGCCAAUAUGUUCUAGCAAACCGCCAUAUUUCCAUGCCCGCCAAUGCCUAGUCUGUAAGGUGUAUGCAAAAGAUGUUGGACACAACAUUAUUUAAAUGUGGGCGAGCUAGACUGGUUUGGAGAGCCCUCGGUUUGUAUGAAAUCAUAGUUUUUUUUUGAAUUGUUUGGAUUGCUUACCACAUAUUUCAUGUGGUUUGUACGAAAUCAUAGAUAUUACAAGGGUUGUGCGCGCUUUACCGUGCCUUUUGUGUUGUCGGGGUUUCAUAAAACAAUUAUUUGGUUUGGCGCGUGAGGGAGAUGAUGGUGUAAGUCUUUUUGAGUGUGGCUAGGUCUCAGCCGACUGAGACUUAACCAAGUCCGAGUCAAGUGACAUAAGAUGUAAUAAAAAACGACUGAAAAUAAAAUUUUACACAAAUCUCAAUGUAAGAUCUCAAGAAUGUAAUACUCCCUCCGUCCCGAAAUAAGUGACUCAACUUUGUUUAGUACAAAGUUGAGUCACUUAUUUUGGGACGAAGGGAGUACAAUGUAAGAUUCAAGAAUGUAAUAUGAAAAAAAACUUAUAUGAUUUAGGAUUUUACUAGCACAUAUUCAGAUAAUUAAAAUGUGUCCAUAGCAGCAACGUGGCAUAACAAUAUUCGAAUGGUGCCACCCAACGGUGGGAGCGAGAUGCACGCUACCAAAAAUGCAUAUAAGUCGUACAUUAAAAACCAUCACAUAUGAUAUUUUUGGUACGAUUUUUGUAUGACUGGUAUGUUAUUUAAAAGGCCUAAUUUUCAAAUCCUACAUAUGAAGGCAUUAUUUGGAAGUUGGUGCAAUUUUCGGAAUUCGCACUGAGUCAAGAAGAAAUCUUGCUAACUGUGUUUUAGCCCCUCUCACCUCUCCCAAAUUCACUCUUGUGUCGUGCCCUCUUACCAAGUAUUAUUCUAUUGCGCUAUUAGUCCAAACGCUUGUGCCAUUGCUAUUUGUCUUGCAGGAAUCUACGAUGUGCACGAUCACCUCUUUAGAUAUUUAAUUCCUAGAUAUUAAUUUCUCCUUCGUUUUAUGCCCACUGGAUGGAUGAGAGACACACACUUCAUCGAUCAACUUUUUGAAGCAGGCCGAGUUUGACUUGGCCCACUUUUUUUGGCAGGCUCUACCAUCCAUUAGUACGGUGGAUCAGGUAAAACAAGAUUUGUGUGUUUGUGCUGUGUUGCGAGUUCGACUCCCGUUCGAGCACCAAUUCUUUUUGGCUCGCUCUAGGCUGGAGCAUGAGCCAGCAGCAGCUCAGCCAGCCGAUGCAGGCAAGACUUGGCCCAGCACGCUGCGGACAUAUAAAAUAUAGAGAUAUGGGCCAGUCGGCCGCUUUGCUUAGUUUUUCCUUUCUUCUACAAGUAGAACGUCUUGGUUUCCAAUUUCCCUCAACAACAAAAAAAUGUCUUUGUUUCCAAUUACUAGGUAAUUGCCCGUGCGUUGCAACGGGAGCAUAAAAUUAAACGGACAAGGAGCAUAAAAUUCUAGUGGUCCAACACUAAUCAUGUCAAAUUUAUACAUAUUAUUCUUGUUUUUCUUAUUUAUUUUCUUCUUCCUUUUCUUCUUCUUUUUCUCCUUCAUCAAAUUAUCUCCUCCUUCCCAGACCAAGAUUUCCACCACCCUCAAUUGCACAUCUGGCGAUUGUUUUUUGGGGUUGCAUCUGGCAAUAUAAUGCGUAGAUUGAUUGUGCUUUAUUUGGACGGGGUGUUUGGCAGCCAUGGAAAAAAAUGUAUAUAUACAAAUUGAUUAAAGCAAUAUAAUAUUUCGCGACGAUGAAAAAAACUAUUCUGUAUUUCAAACUCACUGUCCAUCUGGUUUGAACUAAUAUACAAGAUGAACAAGCCAACAACAGAUGUUUUGAUCGGCAAGCCUGUUACUAUGUUUUAGUGUAUGCCAAUAUGUGCUCCAUCUUUUAAGAUAAAGACCAAGUGACGAAACAAUGGUGGUUAUUUCAAGAAAAUAACACAUUCUCAAGAUACCACCUGGUAUCAUUAGCAGGUACAACUUUUAGUGUCACAAAUGCAACACCAACAUACCGCUUCCAAGUUCCAACGUAAUAAAAGGACACGCCCAUACAAAAAAAGUUAAAGUAACACAAUGUCUAUUUGCCAUCAGAACUAUUGGAUAUGGGAUAAAAAUGGUGUUGAAAACAUGCAGUCCCCAUUGAAGAUAAGAAACGACCGCAAUGAGAUUACAGCCAGACUUUGAAUCUCUUACCUUCAAAACCUGUAGAAAUUGAUGCUAAUCAAAUAGUAAUCAGUGCUAUACCCAUGUAAUAUACUCAGGUGAUUGUGUUAGUGCUUGGUACUAUUGUUUUCGGCAAUACCACACUAAUCUAUAGUAAUUAGUGCUGAACCUGGAGUAUGGAGAUAACCCAUUGACUACUGGCUUCACCCCUGCCUUAGUGCUUAGUACAAUUAUUUUCGGCAAAGGAUUAAGUUUGUUUUUGCACAUGUGGCAGAGCAGCUAGCAGCUGUUGCCUUUACCUGCACGAAACAUUAGACUGAGUACAGAACCUUGUUUUAUAAAUAUAACACAACUAUUAUCUCACAUCAAAAUCUUACAUGUACUGGAAUCUUACAACAGAUGUUUACAUUUACUUUCUGAAGAACAAGAAGCUACUACUAUUUUUACAUUAUACUGGGCGAGCACAUUGGGAGAGUGCCAUGUAUCAAUGUUUUUCCUACUGCAGUGUAGCUUGUUUGACUGCUCUUUUGAUGGCCCUGUUCAGUGCGAGAAGAGGCACAUCUGACGCCUACCCAAAAAAUAGAACUAAGAAAUGACUAUAAGGAGAUGGGAAAAGAGAUCAAAGAACGAACAGUCAAAGAGAACCUUACCUCGAAAGGAUCUUCAUCAGGUUUUUCAUUUCAGAUAUAGACAACAAGUACAUCUUCACCCGCACUUAAUCCAAGCAAUCUCUAUUGUUCAAGCAAACAAAUCCACAGCUUGCCCCUGAUUCUAGUCAAUCGCCACUUCAUAAGAGUUUCAAUAAUCUGCAUUGAAAAAGUCAAUUGAAUUAAAAAUAGUGUAAGUAACCAACAUUCAGGCUGGUGCGUCACGAGAGGAGGAGGCGGCUGGUCUCCUUGGCCCAAGGCGGUGGAGGAAAGACCUGUUGCCGCAGGCAGCGGAGCUGGGGUCUACCUGUCCUGAGGCUGCCACGCCGGCAAGGACAGGGGCGAGCGCAGCCGUGGGAUUCGAGAGGCCACCGCGCGUGGGCGAGGAGGGCGUCUGGUGGCGUGCUGGCGGGGUGUGGGGAGGGGUCUAGACGGUGAUGGCGGACCAGAGGUCGGCGGCGACGCAAACCUAGCGCGCCUGAUCGUUGCGAUGGGAGCAGAACGUGCGAGGGACAUGUGGGCUGGCGCGGUUUUGCUGGGCUUGGCCCAUGUGCACGCCGAAGAGGAGCGGAAUGCUCGACGAAAGGCGGACGAAGGAGGACCGACAUAAGACGGGAAACGGAACCUUACUAUUCUUUUAGGUAGUAGUAGAGAAAAAGUAGCAUACGUAAAAAUAGUUAAAACGGGACGAAACAAACCGGAACCAAAUCAAGAAUACUUAUUCCCUUUAAUAGUAAGUCCGCCCGCUUCGCUUAAUUUUCCUUUCUUUUAGAAGUAGAACGUCUUGGUUUCCAAUUUCCCUCAACAACAAAAAAAUGUCUCGGUUUCCAAUUAAGAAGUAGUGUACGUAAAAGUAGUUAAAACGGGACGAAACAAAGCCGAAUGAAACCAAGAAUACCUAUUUCCUUUAAUACUAACCGGACGGUAGACAAGUGGUGCGGCCAUUUGAUUGUACAUCAUCCAAUAGGUUGUGUCCAAGUAUUGCGGCCAUUUGAAGUGACUAACUGGACGGUAGCCAAGUGGUGUGCAAAUCACCGAGCCAACAAGUUGUUAUAUUUGUUGAUCAUUUGCCCAGAUAUACAACUUAUUGGCCGGAUAUGCUUUGUGUGUUGGUCAUUUGGUCAAAUUGGAUAUGCAAAUUGCUGAUAAUGUUGUACUUUAUGGAAAAUUCGAUUCUGAACCCAGGCUCAGCUGCUCCUGAAAUCUCAUCCAUCUGCUCUGCUCACGUGUGGAUGCACGCAUUGUCUUGUAUUCUCAUCUGUAUUCCUCUUGUAUCAGAUAUAAACAAUGUGUGGACCUUGGCCGCAUUCAUAGCGAGGGGGCGUCACCUCACAGCCGGAACAGGCUUGGGGCGCACGGCCCAGUGAUUUUUUUUGUGCCAGCCUGAGCCGUCCGCCUUACACAGCCUCCAUUCGGCUUUUCCAAAAACGCAUUUACUCAGCCAGCAGCAAAAUUUGAAUCCCACGGCAGUCAACCCACACAUGCGACACUGCAAGCUGACUACACCAGACGUGCCACCUGCCAUCAUCAGUACAUGCAUAAUAUGCUCAAUCUACAGCUCUCCGCUGUCUGAUGACAUAAAAAUACAGAGAUGUGCAUCUUCAGAACACUUCGACAUAGUUCACUCAACUUUACAGAACAAUUCAACGAAGUUCACUCAGCGUUACAAUGGUACAAACUUCACGCACUGAAGUAACAAGCGUGGAGCAUAGCGCACAAAAACACACCAGAAAAUCCUCGGAUUACAAAUUACAUAACUAAAUUUGAUUCUCACAUCUAAUUUCCUGCACCACCAAGUGGUCGUGUGCCUGUAUUUCUAAGGUGGCUUUCCAUUCCAUAAUUCUUGUCAUUUCCCGGGCUUGUUUAGAGCAUCUCCAACGGCCGCAUAAAAAUUUCGCGCCCAAUAAAAGUUAUAGCGCGCCACUUUAGCACUUUUAAUGUGCCGGGACCAAUAUCGUUGUAGCAGACGCCCAAAAACGCGCGCCCAAAAAGCACACGGUGCAAAUUGUGAAGCGCGCACAAUCCGGAACCCAAAAUAUGUUGCGCGCGAUAGCGUUUUACAGCGCACGCCCAAAACUUUUUAGCGCUACAGCAUCUGCUGGAGCUGUUCGGCGCCCAAAAAAACAAAAUUUUAGUGCACGGAGCUCUUUUUGGGCGCCUGUUGGAGAUGCUCUUAGGUGCAUCCCCUGGUCAAGGCAUGUUUUUCUUUGAUGACCUUCAGGAUGGCAGAUGCUACAGAACUUUGUCAGUUUGCUCAAUCCCUCGUAUGGUGCUUUCUGCUUGCUACUCGUCGGCCUGCUGAUCUCCCGUUUCUUCUCCGGAGACGCCAGCCCUUGAAGUGUUAUGACACUCACAGAAAGACCAACACUUCCCUCCGGAUCUGCAUCACCAUUUGCUAGGAGUGCAAUCUCUCCAUUGCUAGGCAACAUGCCUGCAGGCAUCGCAACCUGGUGGUCCUCAAAUCCCAAUCCAUCCCUCUUCUCCCCUAAAGGUGCACAACUCACCAGUAAAUCUUUCAGACCAGCUGACAUGUGCUUGAAAGCUUUGGCACUCGCAUCGCCCAUCAGAACAUCAUUCAACGACUGGUCUUUCUGGCACUGCAUGAGAUGGCCGGGCAGUAUACCUUCACAUCCUUGAUGCACCUCUUGACAAUGUGUUUUGUUGGUAUCUCCUCCAAGUGAAGCACAUCCAUCACCCGCACACCAAAAAUAUGGUCCAAAAAAACCUGAUCCUGUCAACCUAGAAACAAAACAAAUACAUUUAGAUGCAAAGCACGAUUGAUGGCCGUCAUAUAUUACCCUCAAGACAUUUGUGUGACGACUAGGAUCAGUCAUUGGUUUUCUUGCUUUGUGCUAUAGUGGCACUAGGAGAAAAGGGAACCCCUCCAGGAGUGCAAAACAGAAAUGCAUAUACUUCAAGAAAGCAUCGUUGAUUGACCAAGCAAUCUUCCAUUGCGGCAGGGAAAUUUGCAUCGAUUUUUGAAAUAGUGCCUGGGCAAGGGCAACCCAAGUAAUUUUCUGUUGGACAUGCUGAAAACAACACUGAUAAUUCCAAUAAUUCCAAUAAUGGUCAAAUGUUGCCUCUAAAGGAACUGAGCUCCAGAAUACUCAAGUACAGUGGUGGUGGCCAUGGAUUCAGAACCUCAAGGUCAUGUAUCACCCCAGCACAAUGAACAUGAGGAAUAGAGUAUGACAAUGGUACUGCAAAGAAUGGUUGCAUGUACUUUUUUCACAAUGAUGUAGCAUGCCAAAUCAAUCGACCAUGCAAUUCCAAGUGGAGCUUUUAAGAACAGUACAAAGGAGCAGCAGGUAAGUUACCAGGUCUGUACUUAAUGUUUUUCAGCAAGCAAAUCAAACUGGCGUUUCUAGGUGCAGCAUCAAAUAUGUUCAGUGUCAAGUGAAUAUUAGGUGGAGGAAGCACUUCCAGUAACAUUAUACUAGCAUCAGGCUCAAGAAUCAACAACUGUUGUUUGGCCAAAUUCACAACUCUCUUCUUGCCUUGAAUAAUUACCUGAAUAUUGGCACAUGUUGAUUUCAGUCCAUUGACUACAAGAACUUCUCUGCUUCCUUGAUGUAGUUGUAUCCUGAGCUUGUCUCCCUCACCAUCAGAAUAUUCCAAAUAAAAUACCCAGAUAAUUUUCCAUCCAAAAUAAGGGGCUUGGUUGUCCUUCCCAGUGUGGUCUGAUGGUUUUUCUCACUAGUUUCACCAAUGCGAAAACACUAGAAUUGCUAUCCAACAAGCACUUGAAAACAAUUUUUAACUGCCCAUGGGCCAAGAUCCCAUGGUGAUGACUCCCAUACACCACUGGCAACAGAGAAUUGCAUCUUCAUUGCAGAGCCCUCCAUUAGACUUCCAGGAAAGUAGGGCAAUAGAAGUUGAGCAAAUUGUUUGUCAUUAGCAAAAUACUCUAAGAGAAAAGACCAUGCAAUUUCCCAUAGUAUAGGCUCGAAACAACACUGAUAAUUCCAGCUCGGCUCCCUGACACAGUGCACCUUCUCUCCCAUCGUCAUAGACAUAGAAUGGUUGUGACUCUUACAGUGCUUAGUAAUGUACCAACUAUUGUCGGAAGCCCGCAACAGCCGUAUCAACACGGAGCACUUGCACAUACAACACCUGCUAUUCUCAGCUCCGGCUUCCUCUGCACACCAAAAACCACAUGUCACGUCCAAUGCAUCUAAUUCAGUUCUUCAGAUCCGUUGGCCAACUGAAUAACUCAAUAAAGGAAAGAAUAACUGAAGAACACAGUUCGCACCGAGCAGCCACAAACGAUUUCCUGCAUUGGCUUGGUCCUAUCAGCGUUCAAUCUUCUUACCAUACCUGAUCCCGAACCCAACCUCCCAUGAAUAUAAAUUGUAGAAGUCGCAGGCCUCACCUAGCUAGUCGAAACUCAGUCCCAGCUGAUUUGAUUAUCGCAGGCUCCUGUGUUUACUUGUGAAUAUAUUGCUUCAGCACACUCAUCCUCGAUGCACAGGGGGUUAUGUAUGGUGGUGCACUCCUCAGGUGCAACCUGAAGUUUCCAUUGAGCGAUUAUCAGUUAUCUGAAAAUUCACAAAUUGAGCGAUAGACACACAAAUAGCUAAUUUUUGCUGCUGUCCAUCCACACAUCACACAUGACCACGCAUUUACGUUGCUCCAUAUACAGAAUGAACAGAGCAGUGCAAGCUCGCAACAUUUGAAAGAUCAUAAUCCGUCGAAGGGAUAAAGGGAUCACCUUUUUGUCCAACAUGCUGCUUCGGGGGUUGACCCUAUCAGUGACUUGUGCAGACGAAUUGGAGAAGCCUUCCGUUGCCGGCCCUGCUCGCCCUCAAUCCAUAUGGGGCUUCCGCCACCACCAUGUUGCGCGCACCGAGACCCGGCAUUGGAACCCGCCGGUGUAGCAGGUUGGGCAUUACGGCAUGGUAGCAGGGCUAGGAGGGAGGGAUAUGGAUGCUCAAGGCUGUCCGCGGGCAGGCGGAAAACACCUGUCAACGGGAUCCAUCAAGAACUUCAGCUCGCUUCUUCCAUUGCCGCACCACCGUUGCAAGCACACGCCGCCGCAACGAGCAUAGGCGGAUCGACCCUGGGUAGGUUUCGGGAACCUUCUGACGACGGAUCAGAUUUUGCCUGAUGUCCUGGUCCACGGAUCAGGAAGGACCGCGGAUGGAGGGUCGUCCCCUGCUACGCAAAUGGCCCACACGUACGCACUGUUUCAAGCCGUAUACACGACGUAUCCACUUUAUUCGGCGAUGCCGUUCUGACGCGCCAGUCUGAUUUGUUGCAAUCCCGAAACAUCAACGAACGCCAGCGAUUUCGGGAGCAGCUGAGCUCGAGCACCGAAUCGCUGCAUUCGUACUUUAUAGCUUUUUUUUAUAGAAAGACUGUAAGGGAACCCCUACAGUAAAAUUGGUGCAACAAACCCAAAUUACAAGUACCAUGCCUUGAACCUAGGUGGGUGGGAAGGCAUCAACCCCUUCUCACCACUAGGCUAUGCCUUAGUCUGCUACCUUAUAGCCUUAGCCUUCCCGUGCGUGCAAUUUGUUCUUGUAGUUAUAGAUUGUUUCAAUUUGAUGAUAAUUUAAAGUUGCAACGUGGAUUCUUUCUUUUUUCGAAAACACUAACGCCCACACGUCUGGGCGUUCUCCAACUCGCCCACACGCCUGGAUUGUCGUUCAUUGUUUUUUGCACGAAUCUUGACACGAAAAGGUGGAUUUGGUGUGCCACGUAGGACGGGGCUAGUGUGUGGGCGUUGGAGAGUUUGCCCACACGCCCACACCACGCUAUUUGCCAGCUGCGCUGUGUGGGCGAACUAGUUUCUGCCCACACAGCCACCACCUAGUUCAUGCGCGUGUGGGCGAACUGCUUUUCGCCCACACGACACUCCUACAUCGUGGAUGGCAACUGCAGUUACGCGAACGUGGCAACUAGGUAAACACGCAUGGGAACUGUAAUUCUUUGCUAGACGGCAACUGCAGUUGCGCGUACGUGGCAACCAGAUAAACACACAUGGCAACUGUGAUUAACAAGACAUGGCAACUAUGGUUGGACCACACGUGGCAAAUAGAUAAACACACAUGGCAACUACUGUUUGACCGUAUGUGGCAAGUAGUUAAUCAUACACGGCAACUACGGUUUGAUUACACGCGGCAACUACCAUAAAUUAGACAUGGCAACUAUAGUUAACCCAAAUAGAUAGAGUUGUCAUGCUUUUACAACUACACUUGCCAACCCGGAUAACUACAUCUGCCAACCAGGAUGACAACUAAAUCGUCAUCCCGCGGGGUACCUAACGUAGCUGCGCCAGAACGUGUGGGCAUUUUUGCUUCGUGCCACACGCGCGGGGUGGAGAUGAGUAGUACUUGUUGGGUGUGUGGCACGAAGUAGCCGCGCCACACGUGUGGGCAAUUCUAAUGUCUGCCCACACAUAGCCCAUGUGGGCUGCCUCCUUUUCACACCACACACGAUGUGUCGGCGCAUGUCAAAUAUACCACACGUGUGGUGAAUAUCGGCGUCCUUCUUUUUAGGAAAACACUUGCCUUGAGCCGGCGGAUCGCACGCGGGCGAUCCGCGUCCUCCUCUCUGGGCGCGUGUUCUUAGCGUGUCUCUUUCUGUAAUAUUUUCUGCAAAUAUCACGUGUUUUAGAAAAUUGUCUUCGGCAACAACUUAAAACGUCAAAACGUGGCCACCACAAGCGUCAAAACGCCCACCAUUCAACCGUCGUGUCGCCAUCACAAGCUAAUAACAAUUGUUUGGAGCUACCUUUACGCCGUGGAAGCACAAGGCAAAACUAAAUUAAUCACUAAUCUUUCCAUCAUCGAUGCGAAGCUGCCGUGAAGUUUCUCGCGAGAGAAACACGCACGAGGACGAAAUAUAUAACUGACGACCGAGGCGGCCGGCCGGAGCUAGAUACACAUAUACAUCCCGGCGAAAUAUUAGGCCGGCGGGGCAUGGAAGGCAGGAGCAAGGCCGCCGCGAUGCCGUCGGAGCCGGUGAGGCUCAUCAGCUGCUUCGCCAGCCCGGUGGUCCACCGCGCCGAGCUGGCCCUGCGCCUCAAGGGCGUCCCCUACCAGCUCAUCGAGGAGGACCUCAACAACAAGAGCGAGCUGCUGCUCACGCACAACCCCGUCCACAAGACCGUCCCCGUGCUCCUCCACGGCGACCGCUCCAUCCCGGAGUCGCUCGUCAUCGUCGAGUACGCCGACGAGGUCUUCUCCGGCCAGCCGCUCCUUCCCGUCGACCCCCUCGCCCGCGCCAACGCCCGCUUCUGGGCCCGCUUUCUGGACGAGGAGGUACAGGCGUACAGCAACCGCAGUAAUUCAGCACCGAGCUUUCAGUUUUCACUGUUCACUCGAUGACUCUCCUACAUGGUCAUGCAGUGCAAGAAGCCGUUGUGGAUGGCGCUGUGGACAGACGGCGAGGCGCAGGCUGCGGCGGCGAGGGAGACCAAGGAGAAGCUGACGCUGCUGGAGGCGCAGCUGCCGGAGGGGAAGAGGUUCUUCGGCGGCGACGCCAUCGGCUUCCUCGACAUCGCCGUCGGCGGGGCGCUCGCGCACUGGAUGGGGGUGUUCGAGGAGAUGGCCGGGGUGCGGCUGCUCACCGAGGAGGACCACCCAGCGCUGUGGCGCUGGGCGAGGGAGUACAGGGCCGACGAGACCGUGCGGCAGUGCCUCCCGGACAGGGCCCGCGUGCUUGCGGCCUUGGCGGCGAGGAAGGAUCUGUAUGUUUCCAUUGCUAAGGCCAUGGUUGCACACAAGUAGCGUACUGGUCAACGCUGCCGAAAUCAGGCCUAUGUAUACAUGUCGAUGCAUAUCCGAUGUUCUUGGAAUAAAAAGAAGUGAAAAGUGCGUCCGCCGCCUCCUAUGUUCAUGCUUCUUAUCCACUCUCACCCGUCCAAGUUGGAUUUCUAAAUAGGGCCGGACCGGUCUGGAUGUUCGAAUCCCAUAGAGCAGCCCCAAAUCGAGGAGCUCUCGCUAGGGAUGGCAAUGGGUACCCAUUACCCAUGUGCCCUGUGGGUAAAAACCCUAUUAGGAUAAAGGCGUGAGACAAAAUGUUACCCAUGGGGUAUAUAAAUAGGUAAAUCUCAAACCCAUAGGGUAGAGCGGGUACGGGUAUGGGAUCACAUAACCCAUACCCGCAUACCCAUGUACCCUUAUAAAAUCUAACAAAUAUGGACAAAUUACCUGUACACUUUGUCGUGAGUUUGUCAAGUUAAAAUUUAUGACUAUCUGCUACUAUUUAUGAUUAUGUGUUGAUGUUUUGAUGUGUAGUUGGUUAAAAGGAAGUGUUGAUUUUUAUAGAAUCUGUUGUUGUUUUAGAUGUGUUGUUGUAAGUAUGUAUUUGUGUUACUAUGUGUUAUUGUUUAUAAAAUAUGAUUGUAUGUUGUUGUUUAUAAUUAUGUGAUGCUCAAAUUAAUGUUAUUCAAACAUGUGUGUUUUUUUCCUGCGGGUACCCAUUUACCCUGUCGGGUGACGGGUAUGGGAAAAAAUUAUACCCACUAGCGGGUAUGGGUACGGGUGAUGGGUAAGCUCAAAUGGGACGAGUAUGGGUAUGGGGUGACUCCACCCGUACCCAAACCCUGCGGGUGCCAUCCCUAGCUCUCGCGGAGUUCGAAUGUCCGCUACACUGGACUCUGAUAUCCCGAACCACCCAGAACCCCAUUCAGAGCAUGCGCAUUUUCACAAUCUGCCACUACUUCCACACCCGGCGAGAUGUCCCCUUCGAUCGUGAAGAGGGCGGGGUCCUCGUCUAGGGAAGACUCAUUGUCAUCAUCCCUGCGGAAGGCGAAACUAUCGAGCAUCAUCCAGUUUGGAACGGAGCUAGCGGCGGACAUGGGAGUGGAUCGGCGGGACGUACAGAUUCUCUUCCUUCUAGGGCUUCAGUGUUGGAUGUCGAUUGCUGGAAAAGGGAAUUUGCGAUAUGACUCACGCGACCACUAGAACUUUAAGGCGCGCGUUGCCGCGCCCACCCAUUUUGAAGGUUGGAUUACAGAGUCAUGAAGUGUUGGUAGUCGAAGAGAAUGAAUUUAGGGUAGAAAACACACAUUGCGGACCAUGCAUCUGACAGUUUGAAAGAUAGUGCCACCAAUACGUUUAGAGUGCAUAUACAUAGUUUUGAAUUGAGGCCAUGAAAUGCAUGUAAUGACAAGUUCUUACAUACACGCAAGUUUAUGUAAUUAAACUGAUUAACCCAAACUAACAACUCGAGGUGGUGAGAAUAGAGCAAUAAUAACAGAUAUGCUUAGUUUGUUUUUGCACCCUUAUUCAUGAUAGAAGGAAAGAUACUUCCCCACUAUUACUGAAGCAAAAGAUGAAGUGGAGAUGUCGAGAAACAGCUGAGUUGGGAAUACAGAAUCAAUAGCUAUUAGCAGACGUGUUUAGGUUUAUGAGUUGAUGUACGUUAAUAUAGGUGUUAAUAUAGGUAGGUGACACAGAACCAAACUUGUUUCAAUAAUUUCUUGCCAAAAGAUUCAGUUUUGGAGACAGCUAUCCAGAAGAAAAAAAAUAGAGAAAACUGCAAGCAUUAAUACCUAUCUUUCUUUCUAUCUUUUUUUCUGCACCUAAAAAAGAACUUUCUUUAUCUCGUGUCUCGUCAUCACUUGUACUUGUACAGGCUGAUGGUAUUUUCACACUUGGAGGAACCUAGGCGGCCUAGGCCCAAAUAAAUAGGAAGACCACAAACGAGGUGAUCGGGUGGGCCUAUAUAGGGACCGUGGCUGGGCCUAUACGGCCCCUUUUUGCGGCUGAUCGGCCCGACGAACGAGGUGAUCGCUAGCUCACCUUCCGGAGCAGCGGCCCUGACUGCGUCUAGCGAACGGAUUGUGGCGAGGUGAAAACGGCAAGCGACGCUCGGUGAGACAUGGAGCGAUCUGUCCGUUCCUAUGGUUGAUCCGAUGGCUGAAGAUGUUAAAACGCUGUGGUGGCUUGUAGGUGGUUCCGUUUUACUGUUUUGUAAUGUGAUACUCCCUCCGUUUCAAAAUAGAUUACCCAACUUUGUACUAAAGUUAGUAUAAAAUUGGGUCAUCUAGGCUAGUUGUGGUGGCUUGGAACGAAGGGAGUACAAGGCUUGCCACGUUCAUAGCAGGAGCUCCCAUUUGGCGGCCUCAGCGCCGCCUAGGCUAGUUGGCGCUCGGAGGUGAGUGGUAGUGGAUCGGCCCAGCAUUAUUCGCAUCCAGCAAGAAAUAAAAAUCAUCAACAAUUAGCGCAAGAAAACAAAAGCAUAAACACUAUUAAUUUACGUGAUGUGGGGUUCAAACUCGCAUGCCACACUUAGCACAAUAACCACUGCACCGCGGUCACUUUGAUGUUUUAUAUCCGAAAACAACGCUAUUUCACACUUGUUUCAGUCCUAUUAUAAAUUAUCUAAAAAAAGGAAAUGUUUUUUUGAAAAGGAAUUCACAUUUUUUCUAAUAUUUUGUCGAUUUUGCAAAAUAAUUCACGGCUAAAAAAAUGUUCACAAAUUUAGAAAAAGUUGAUCAAUUUUGAAAAGAUGUUCACGAAUUUCGAGAAAGUCCACCGGUUUUUUUUCGCAGAGGAUGUGUGCGCCCGUUUGCGGAAGGGUUUACCGUCCAUACCUCUCGCCUGACGCGAGAUGGCAGGACCGCUUGCCUCAAGCGCUUGCGCUAUUGGUCCGGCCCAGCGCGGGGGGCAUUAAGCGAUCGUUUUUUCCUGUUUUCUUUUCUUAUUUAUUUUUAAAUUUUAUUUAUAUUUGAAAAUAGUCUAAAUAUAUAAUACAACAAUCCAUUUACGUAAAUUUCUGAAAAAUAUUAAUCGUGCAUUUGGAAUAUGUUAAACAUGUAUGUUUCUUUACUAUAUACGAAAAAUAUGUAACGUGUAUGAAAGAAAGUUGACAUCAAAAUAUAUGUUUGGACACUGUUAACCAUGUAUGUGACUUUUUUUUAAAUGUAUAUACAAAUGUUUAUAUGUAUUCCAAAACUGUAUAAUGGGUAUGGAAAAUAAAAUAGGCAUCAAACUUAUAUUUCAAAAAAUAUUGAUCAUGUAUUUGAAACAAUUUAAACGUGUACUAGAAAAUGUGCCUGGUGUAUAUGAAAAAUGUAGACUUGUGUAUUUGGAAAAAUGUUGACCAAGUAUUCAAAAACAUGUAUUAAAAUAAAAAUAUAUAACGUGUAUUUGAAAAAAAAGUAGAGUUGGUUAAAAUGAACACAUAUGCUUCCUUACUUGCAGACUCGGGGUCUAGCACGAAGGGUGCGAUAGUCAAGAACAGUGGAGGUCUGCCGUUCUUCUCAAUGGGCGUCCAAACUAGUAUUUGUAAAAGCGCAGAGGAAGCCGAAGGAACUGUAGUUCUUGUUGGUCUGAAUGAACUGUCGAAACUGUUUGAUGGCGCAAUAUUUUCUGAAUUGGACUGUCUACCAUUGGUUGAGGCCCUAAACUCUGAAACAACCAACACUUCCAAACUGUUCCCUGUUAUCUGUGAUCUCAAGGAGAUUUUGAAGCACUUCAAAUCCCAAAUCGGACAAUCUAGAAGUUCAGGCGACUUCUUCUUUCGUGCGGACACCCCUAGUGAAUUCAGGGAAAUGCUACAUGGUGGUUGUAGCCUGGGUGUGUAAUCACUCUUUUUGGUCUUUGAUCUCAAAAUAAAAUAAAAAAUCGACAAUGGGGAAUGCCCUCAGACCCCACCAGCUAGAACUCGGGAUACAUCUUGAUUGAUACAAACCAAAUAAUAUAUGUUUGGCUUAAGUACAUCAAUGCGAUUAGAUUAUGCUGGUUAACAACCAUGGCUAAUCCCCUCAAAAAAAAAAACAACCAUGGCUAACUCUACCAUGGAUACCCCACAACGGCCGAAGACAGACGACAAAUUGCUCUUUUUUAUCAGUUUUGCUAGAACUCAUCUAGAUGAGAUUUAAUUUGGUCUCAUUCACCUUUUAUAACCAUUGGAUGUGGUGCUAUAAGAUGCGUGUGUGCUGAUAUGGGUUGUAUCCAUUCUUGUUUUUCAGGUGAAUGAGACCAAAUUACGUCUCAUCUAGAUGAGUUCUAGGUACUCCCCUUUUUUAUUGCAUCGGAUGCUCUUUCCACAUGCAUCCAUCGAGAUGCAUACAAGUCCAGAAGCAUUGACUUUGUAUCCCCUUCCUCGUCGUGAAAUGUGCUACUUCUGUGCAGCCAUGGCCUUGGCAAUGGAGACAUAGAGGUUCUUCCUGUCCGCCAAGGCGGCGAGCACGCGGUCCCUGUCCGGGAGGCACUGCCGCACGGUCUCGUCGGCCCUGUACGCCCUCGCCCAGCGGCACAGCGCCGGGUGGUCCUCUUCGGUGAGCAGCCGCACGCCGGCCAUCUCCUCCACCACCCCCAUCCAGUGCGCGAGCGCCCCGCCGACGGCGAUGUCGAGGAAGCCGAUGGCGUCGCCGCCGAAGAACCUCUUCCCCUCCGGCAGCUGCGCCUCCAGCAGCGUCAGGUUCGCCUUCGUCUCCCUCGCCGCCGUCGCCUGCGGCUCGCCGUCCGUCCACAGCGCAAUCCACAAAGGCUUCUUGAACUGCGCGCGCAAACAUAUAGCAGAGUCGUCGAGUGUUGAACACUGAAUUGAAUUACUGCGGUUGUUAUACCUCCUCUUCGAGGAAUCUUGCCCAGAAGCGGGCGUUGGCGCGGGCGAGGGGUUCGACGGGAAGGAGCGGCGGGCCGGAGAAGGCGUCGUCGACGUACUCGACGAUGACGAGCGACUCCGGGAUGGAGAGGUCGCCGUGGAGGAGCACGGGAACCGUCUUGUGGACGGGGUUGUGCGUGAGCAGCAGGUCGCUCUUGUUGUUGAGGUCCUCCUCGACGAGCUCGUAGGGGACGCCCUUGAGGCGCAGGGCCAGCUCGGCGCGGUGGACGACCGGGCUGCCGAAGCAGCCGAUGAGCCUCACCGGCUCCGACGACUUCGCGGCGGCGUCGCUCCUCCCCUCCAUGCCCGCCUGAAUUUUCGCUGGGACGUAUGUCUAUCUAGCACUCAAGCUCCUCCCCUCCAUGCCGCCAGCUAUAUAAUUCGUCCUGGUGCGUGUGUUUCCCUUGCGACAAACUUCACGGCAGCUUCCCAUCGAAGAUUAGCGAUACGUUAAAUUAAUCAUGCCAUGUUCUUCCACGCCUGAAAGCCCACCUUUCGCAUCUCUAAGCGACAGUUAUCAGCUUGUGAUGACGACACGGCGUUUUGAUAUUUUUUUCAUGGUAUAAUUCGUGUCCUAUAUUAAUAUCAUAAUAGGUCCGGAGAUGGUGAUUUCGGAUCCCUCCCCUACGGUCGCGAUACCACAGUUGCAGCUGGCGGCAUCAUCUGCUGAUGGGGGCUUGGGGCAGGUGGCCUCGGCGCCCUCAUCGGGGCUUGCCGAGGUCGAGUUCCCGACGGUGGAGAUUGACUCUUCGGGAGGGGGGCCGAGGCUGCUAGCCCCGGCACCUACCUCCCCUAUCGCCGGGCCGGCGUUUCUUUCCGGAGAGGGCUCGGGGCAGGUGGCCUCGGGGUCCUCUUCUCUCGGGGCGCCCAGGGGGGCCUGCCCACCGGUGCCUCCGGCUGGCUGUUGGGCCAGGGUGGAUGGGGAGCUUGGGCAGGAGGUCCAGGUUCCACCCUCCCCCGGCUUGGUUCACUCGAGUAGAGCUAUUCGGGAGGAGGUGAUUGCGUUCGGUGGUAUUCCGGAUCCGGUCUCUGAGGGGCGACGGUUGAGUAGCCGUCUCCAGGACCAUCCGGAAGUGGACGACAUUCAGCAGCGGUGCGCCAUGAGGGCGGCCAAGCUUCGUGACGUGGAGGUCACUACUGGUAUGUCGGUCAAUACCUCUAAUUCUAUUUUGCAUUUUUCCAAUGAUGAGAUUAUCAAUAAUGCAAAUCAGCUAGGAAUUUCACUAGGUAGUAAUGAUAGUGAAAUUUCAACCUCUGUUAAUGAUAUGCUGGAUUUAGAGGCCGAACGGGCGCUAGAGAUGAUUCGUAACUUAGCUGCGGUUAAACCCAUGAAUAACUCCGAUAUCGAUGCUUUGGGGGUCAGGGUGCUCGAUAAUUUGUGCGCGGAUCUUGCUCAUCCGUCUCCUGAGCCUGAGGAGGAGGAUGAGCGAGUGGACAAUGUGGAAGUGCGCACCUCUGAGACUGGUUGUGCGGACCAGCUGGAGAGUUUACAUAUUCCUAAACGCAAAUGGAAGCGGAAGCUUUACCCAGAUUCCGCAGUGCGUAGGAGCGCUCGGAUACGAACGGCUAAAAAAAUUCCAUGACGAGAUAUGAAAGGAAUCUUUUGGAAUAGCAGAGGUCUGAAAAACUUGGCUAAAAGAAGGUUUCUUGCUGAAGCUUCUAUUGAGCAUAAGUUGGACUUUAUCGCUUUGUCGGAAACUGGUAGAGCCAACUUUUCGACACAAUUUCUCAAUACUUUAUCGGGAGGUAUUGAUUUUGACUGGCAUUGUCUACCACCGAGAGGAAGAUCGGGUGGGAUCUUACUCGGAGUUAGAUGUGAUUCGUUAGAAGUCCGAAGCGUGGUCAUGGGAGAUUUAGCUGUUAAGUUUAGGGUGCGGUCGAAGACCGAUGGGUUUAACUGGGCUUUGGUGGCGGUAUAUGGUGCCGCACAGCCCGAGCUUAAACCGGAUUUCUUGGCUGAUAUGGUUAGGAUUUGCGGUUCUGAACAACUUCCUAUCCUGGUGGGGGUGAUUUCAAUAUCAUCAGAAGGCGUGAUGAGAAGAAUAAUGAUAAUUUUGACGGCAGAUGGUCGUUCAUGUUUAACACUAUCAUUGAAAGCCUGGAUCUGCGUGAGAUAGAGCUUUCGGGCUGAAAGUUUACCUGGGCUAACGCCAUGCCAAAUCCGACGUUUGAAAAGCUGGAUCGAGUCCUAGCUAGCGUCGAAUGGGAGCAGAAAUUCCCAUAUGUAACAGUCCAGGCACUUACACGUGGUAUUUCUGAUCACACGCCUUUAUUCCUUGACUCUGGGGAGGCCACACAUUUGGGAAAUAAAAAUGUUUUUUCUUUCGAGCUUGCUUGGUUUGAGAGAGAAGGUUUCUUGGAUCUCGUAGCCAGAGAAUGGGUUUCCCGGCAGAGUUCUACAAGAAGUGUUGGCAUAUUAUUAAAGGAGAUCUAUUGCCGUUGUUCAAUGAUUUAUUCUCUGGCCAGCUUCACCUUUUUCAGCUGAAUUUUGGAACGAUAACCCUUCUUCCCAAGAAGACAGAGGCAGUGAGGAUUGAGCAAUUCCGGCCUAUCUGUCUUCUUAAUGUUAGUUUCAAAAAUUUUACCAAGGUCGGGACGAAUAGGCUCACGCAGAUUGCGCAUACUGUGGUGCAGCCUACUCAAACUGCUUUCAUGCCGGACAGGAACAUCCUCGAAGGGGUUGUGGUCCUACAUGAAACGCUCCAUGAGAUUCACUCGAAAAAACUUGAUGGAGUUGUUUUUAAGGUGGAUUUCGAGAAAGCGUACGAUAAAGUCAAAUGGCCUUUCCUUCAACAGGCACUUCGCAUGAAGGGUUUUGAUGAAGCUUGGCGACGCCAAGUUGAAUCUUUCACGCAAAAAGGGAGUGUUGGAAUUAAAGUGAAUGACGAUAUAGGUCAUUAUUUCCAGACACACAAGGGCCUGAGACAAGGUGAUCCAAUGUCUCCUAUUCUGUUCAACAUUGUCGUUGACAUGUUGGCAAUCUUGAUAGGUAGGGCAAAGGAGGCCGGGCAAGUGGGUGGCUUGGUGCCUCAUCUAGUUGAUGGUGGUGUGUCGAUCCUGCAGUACGCUGAUGAUACAAUCAUCUUUAUGGAGCACGACUUGGCAAAAGCGAGAAAUAUGAAGCUGGUGUUGUGCCUUUUCGAGCAAUGACCGGUCUGAAGAUUAACUUCCAUAAAAGCGAGUUGUUCUGUUUUGGUAGAGCCAAAGAGGAACAAGAUGCAUAUAAGCAAUUGUUUGGUUGCGAUUUGGGAGCACUUCCAUUUACUUACCUAGGUAUCCCCAUUCACCAUCGUAAGUUGACAAACAGCGAAUGGAAGUGUAUCGAGGAUCGGUUCGAGAAGAAACUGAGCUGCUGGAAGGGCAAACUCAUGUCGUAUGGAGGCCAAUUGAUUCUCAUUAAUUCGGUGCUCACGAGUAUGCCUAUGUUUCUUUUGUCCUUCUUUGAAGUACCAGUUGGAGUUAGGAAAAGGCUGGACUUCUAUCGGUCCCGUUUCUUCUGGCAGAGUGAUGAACUUAAGAGAAAGUACCGUUUAGCCAAAUGGGAUGUCAUAUGCCGACCAAAAGACCAAGGGGGUCUUGGUGUUGAGAAUCUUGAAGUCAAGAACAGAUGCCUUCUCAGUAAGUGGCUAUAUAAGUUAGCAGCUGAGACUGAGGCAACUUGGGCGCAGAUUCUUCGUAACAAGUAUCUGCACUCUAAGACUUUGUCGCAGGUGACAGUCAGACCGACUGAUUCGCCCUUUUGGAAGGGGCUAAUGAGAGUCAAAACUACUUUCUUUAAUAGAACAAAGUUUAUUGUCGGUGAUGGCAAUAACACUCGCUUCUGGGAGGAUACUUGGCUGGGAGGAACGCCGUUGGCGCUUCAGUAUCCGUCACUGUAUCGUAUUGUGCAGCGACGUGAUGCUCUGGUUGCAACGAGUUUGCAGUCCACUCCCCUUAAUAUUCAGUUUAGGAGGUGCUUGUUGGUGACCGAUGGGAAGCUUGGAUUCAUCUGGUGAGUAGACUGAUGGAGGUUCAGCUCACUCAUCAGCCCGAUCAGUUGUGUUGGAAGCUUACUAGAUCUGGUGAAUUCACAGUCAAGUCGAUGUACAUUGAUGUCAUCAAUUCUAGUGUUAUUCCUAGUUCCAAACAUGUUUGGAAAGUUAAGGUUCCUCUGAAAAUCAAAGUGUUUAUGUGGUUUGUACAUAAACAAGUCAUCUUAACGAAAGAUAAUUUGGUUAAGAGCAACUGGACAGGCUCUACUAGGUGUAGUUUCUGUGAUCGGGAUGAAACUAUCAAGCACCUUUUCUUUGACUGCCCGUUGGCGAGGGUGUUGUGGUGCUCGAUGCAAAUUGCCUUUAACAUUACUCCUCCGAAUUCGGUCGGGUUGUUAUUUGGAACGUGGCUUGUUGGGAUAGAGUCCGAAACAGCUAGACAAAUUCGCGUAGGAGCAUGUGCAUUGUUAUGGGCAAUUUGGAACUGCAGAAAUGAUUUGGCUUUUAACAGAACAACAACUAUUCAUUUUUACAGGUUUUAUUCCGGGCUACUGCGCUAAUCCGUAUGUGGUCCUUACUCACUCCGACGGAGGCCAGGGAGCGUUUGGUUACUGGAUCUGUCCGGUGGGAGAUGGUAGCGCGAGAUAUCUUCAACCGGUUUGGAUGGCGGUCAUGUAAUAGGAUAGGCGAUUAGUUUACCUAUCUAUCUUAUGCCAGCCGGUUGUGGCUUUUGGGCCUUCUUUGUUUUUGUAGCUCUUUGUGAGCCAGCCUUUCUUUUUUUGCAGACUGCAAGACCUUGUUGAACUACUUUAUUUAUUUAUAAAUGUGGCCGUAUGCAUCGUUCUGAUGCAGAGGCCGGGGAGUCCCCCCUUUUCGAAAAAAACAAGUUGCCAACCAACCUGUGGUUGGAUGGUUAAAGGGACAGUAGUAUUCUCAGCCCACCAGGGAUCAAGUCCAGGUGCUCGCAUUAUUCCUGGAUUUAUUUCAGUAUUUCUGGCGAUGCGUUUUCAGUGCGAGGAGACGUCAUGACUGAAGAAUACAUAACUUAACACUAACGCCCGUCACCUGCCUACGGCACCACCACAACUGCCACCAAAGGAAAAAACAUGACAAAACAUCUCCUCAUCCGAUCUCGAUGCAACUGAUGUCAUUGCCGUUGAACGAAUCAGAUCAGGGCAACACCUCGGACACGCCAUCGAACUCCAGAUCGGACACCCCCGUACGACUAAGACGUCGGAAGAGUAAACCAUACAUGCCCGACACGACCUAGCAGAUGAUCCACAUCUUCCACAUGCCACCGAUGCACACCACAAUCCGCAUCUGCUCCUAGACUACCUCCUAAGCUUUGGACCGGCACUGGAGCACACGUUGUUGCAACGACGAAGCCCGAGGACACAAGUCAACCAUGAGAAUGGCGUCGUCGCCACACCAUACUUGCUUGAACAGAAAGAUUUCCAAAUCCAACCCCAAUGCGGAUCAUUUCCUUGGGAAGGAUAUGCAAAUUCUUUAUUUAGCGCCGUCAUCGUCACCGUCGAAACCAACCCAAAAUCCUAAUCUACUAAUGCCUAAAACUAUCCACACGCGUAGAUCCUGGGAUCCCCCUCACCACCGAUGACUGAGGUCCCCGACGGAGGGAAGCUCCCUGGCAGCUGGACGACGGCCACGGAGGGAAGCUCCCUGGCAGCUGGAGGAUGGCGGAGGGAAGCUCCCUGAACUAUGUCUUUCUACACGCUGUUUGAAGCUGGGCGUUUUCUUCAGUGUAUUGGAUGUACUCUGAAUAUAAUACCAUGCCUUAUACUAGCAUUCUACAACGGGACGUCUAUGUGGGAAAAAAAAAGAGAUAAGAAGAAAAGGAACGGGAGCGAAAUGGCACGUUUGGCAAAUAAUCGGGGCUCCGCAUUGGGCGCCCCGACUGAGCCGGUCCAUUUCCGUUUUUUCCUGUUAUCUUUCAUUACAUUUCCUUGAUCUUUCUUAUAUUUUUUCAGUUUUUUCUAAAACUAUAAUUUUUCUUUUAUGCUUACUUUUUCUAUUAAGUUUAUUUUUUUCUUUUCAAACAUGUCCAAAUUUUCAAAUACUUUUAAAAUUUAAAAAAUGUUCUUGUUUUCAAAUUCGUCCAGAAUUAAAAAAACUAUUCUAUGAAAUUCAGGAAUUUCAAAAAUAAUUCAUGACAAUUUCAAAAAAAGUUUCCCAUUUUCACUUUUCCAUAAAUUUUAAAAAUGCUCCCAUUUCAAAAACUAUUUUCUAUUGACAAAUGUUUUUCAAAAUUUUUACACGCUGUUUGUUUUUUUCAAAAUGUUCAAAAAUUCAGAUUUUUUUUUUAAAUGUCUGGAAUUUCAAAAAUUGUCACAUUUCAAAAAGUGUUUGAAUAUCAUUUUUUUGCAUUUUCAAAAUUGUUCAUAAUUUCAAAAGAAAUUCACAGUUAACAAGAAAAUGUUAGAAAUUUUUCAAAAAUGUUUUAUCCGCAGCUGGAUAUGCCCUUUUAGAAAUUUGCGGUGUUCAACAGUCACGAACUUUCAUCAAUUCUGGUGGCUUGCAACGACACUCUGGAAUGAGUGGUCGUGAGGUUGAUCACAUGUGCUAGCACUGCUGUUUUUUCGGGUUUUUUCAAGUAGCACCGUUGCGCUACAGUAAUCACUGUAGUACACCUGCCAAUGGGCCAACACAGCCGGGGGAUGUGCGCCGUGCGACAUGCGGCAAAUGAACGCAACGCCUGGCGUAUAGGAGCUCUUCGUCAAUGCAGAUCAAAAUUCUUGCCAGGGGUAUGUAUCGCCCAUGCAGAUUGCUAUGGAAUCGCUUACGAGUGGACGCCGGCCCAUUACUUAUUUAUCAUGCCAUGCCAGUGCUCGUUUCGCAUCCAGUCAGCAUUUCGAUUGGCUUAGUUUUAUUGUUUGAUUUGGUUUUUCAUUUUUUGGAUUUUCUUUUUAGCUUCUUUAUACUUUGAUUUUCUUUGUUUCUUCUCUAUUAUUUUUUCCUUUUAUGUUUUGUUUUUAUAACCUGUCUACCUUUUUUAUUUUUCUAACACAUAUAUACUUUUUCAUACGCAUUGUACAUUUUUUAUACAUUUAUAACAAUUUUAUACACAUUUAACAUUUUUGAAAUACAUGUUUAACUUUUUAACAAAAACAUGUUUUGAAUAUAUUUUCCUGUUACAUUGUAAAGAAACAUGUUUUGAAAAAAAAUUCAAAUGAUAAAAAGCAAAUAUUUUUCUACAUUGUAGAAUCAUUUUGUCAUAAAUGCAGUUUUUUAAACUCGGGAAGAUUUUCUAAAAUGUGACGUACAUUUUUCUAAUGUAUGUACAGACUGCACAGACUUCACAUUCCAUGAAAAAGUGAUAAAGGAGUUUUCAAGAGCAAGAAAAAAGAAGCACUGCAGGGUGUAAGCUUUCUGUUCUUGUCAUGCAUAGAUUGGAGAAGGAAAGCAUGCAUGUAUCAGACAGACGACUAGAAAGAUUGAAACAAAUUAAAAGGCAUAGGCGAAUGUACCUCCUUUUUUGUUCUUCUUUGGAGAUAAGAAAAUUAUUCUUCGUUUUUUACUUUACCAAGUUGUUGUGUCUCUCUCAAACAAAAUUAUGUUUGUUCUUCCUUCAAAUAAUUACUGUGUAUAUGAGAGUUGAUUUUGUUCCCCUCCCCCAAACAGUAUCUCUGGUUUUAUUCGACACUGGAUGUGUUGAUUUUGUUGCGAAGUAUGGCUUCUUUCCCUACCGUGUCUUGCUAUGGAUCGGGUGAGGUUCUUAUACUAGGAUGAAAAAAGGUUGAAAUUGGCAAGUCUCUAGAUAUAAUACGUGUCCCUGACUUGUUUAAAUUAGAAUGUACAAAAUUAUGAUGAGCACAUGACCACAAUGAAACAUGAUGAUGCAUUAUGAAAGAUGAAGAAGCCCGAUAAAAUGAUUUCAAAACAACUUGAACUUGUUAUAACUUGAAAUUCACCCUGAAACAAUUUGAACUGCAUUCACACACAGUGAAACAUUAUGUAGCGGUUGAAACACAGUGAUACCAAUUGAAACUGUUUUUGAACUUGUGUAGCCUUCAACAAAUACUUGUUGAAACUCACACAUGCAAGAGAUUUUUUUACUUGAUAUUUUUUUGACGAAAUCGGAUAAACAACAUUCAUUUUCCGUGUUACAGAAUGGAACAUCAUGAUGAACAAAGAACACAAUGAAAAUAACAUGUUGCACCGUGAAACCUCAUGAAACAUCGAUCACACACAAUGAAACAUCUGCCACCCUGAAUGAAACCUCAUGAAACACAUGUCACGAUUCUAAAGAGUUUCAUGCUCAUGGCAUCAUGUGUCAUGUUUCCAAACAUUUCACUCCUUUGGAUUGGGGAAAUGCCACCUCAAUGAGAGCUUGGCCCCGAGGCGGAUGCGGUGAUCAUGCGCACCCACGGGCUGCUGCUGCUCUCCGCCAGCGCACAGGCAGCGGCGGCCAUGUUGGGCGCCUUCGCGCCGAACCCUUCUAGGAUCUCCUCGACCUGCACCACAUUCGCGCAUGCCAUCAGCCCCGUCACCUUCUUCCACCUGUCCUGGCCUUCGCCUCCACGGUCGCCGUGGCUGUCGGUAGCUGCCCUGGGCACCUGCACGCCCACAGGACCGAGUUCAUAUCCCAAGACAUCCUGCUCUUCGUGCCGCUCCUCCUCUUCUUCCUCCCAGCUGUCGGCGUACUCUUCACUGCUGUAGCCCUUUGAUUCGUAUGUGUCGAUCCAUCUCCAUCCAUGAUCCAUGCCUAGCGAGCUUGUUCGCUAUAUGUGCUAUGGAGUCGAGUGCCGUAUCUAUCUAUUAGCUGAUGGUUGAUUAGUGUGGCGCUAAUGCUAUAUACCUAAAUUCUCUUAACAUGCACACAUGCCACCUCAUCACCACACUAACCCUUUCUCCUAACAUGCUUGGGAAAUGGCAUUUAUAUAGCAGUUUGUCUAAUUCACAUCUAGAUGUUUUUUAAGGAUGUCACAUCUAACCUCCCACAAAUAUAUAAUGGAGCAACAAAAAACAAAAAAAACUAGGACAAAAAAAUAGACCACAAACAGAGUGAAAAUCUAUGUCACAUCUAGAUGUGUCCUAGACAGACCCUUUAUAUAGUUCUCAACAUGCACAUAUUUCAACUCACCACACAUGCCACCUCAUCAAUCACACUAAUUAUAUCUCUCUUAACAUGCAUGAAAAAUGCAACUUAUGUUAUCUAUUUUAAAUUUUAUUUAAAUUUCAUCAAAAAAUAUUGCAUUCAGUCCCCCAGCAACGCGCGGGGUAUCAUCUAGUUAUUGUUAAUUAGUGCGCCGCUGUGAGGGAAUUAAUGACCACAUAUAGUAGUAGUACGUAAGAAUAGUGUUCCUCGUAUCAGUAAUGUUCAUAUGAUGCACAGUGGGAUCCAUGGAUGCACUCUUCUAUCUAGCUAGUUACUAUAUGCAUGGAGAUGGAGCUGUAAUCGGAAAGACACUUCUAUAUUACGUAAUGUUCAUAUGAUGCAAAGUGGAACCAUGUUUCUGUUUAAUGCUGAAAUCUGUGUUAGUUUACAAAAUGGCAAAACCAUCGUUGUUGGACGUCACAUUGACACCAUCCCCUACGUCGCAUUAAUUUUCGACUAAACCACAUCACAAAAGCGAGAUUAUGGUGCUAAGCAUGGAUUUUUUGAGUUCGUGAACUAGAUGGUUGUGUUACCUAGUACAACACUUAUGGCCAUGCCGGCACAACUUUUCUUUCCUUGAAGACUGGUGGAACACAAACACAAUAGGCAAGGACAAAGAUGCGGAGGUUGCCUUUUAGAGAGGCCAAAACAUAUGUCGUCUCCAAUAUUUCAAAAGAGAAAAAUCCUUGUAUUUUCAACGAGCCCGCCUUGUCGGUUUUUGGUGGGGCGAUAUCCCACGAAUGAAAUUACCUGGCGAUGUUUGUCCUUUAGCCCAUAAAUACAGUCCUUGAGUUUAUCCUUUCUAUUUUCUCUUAAUUUUAGUUGAUGACCAUUUGCUUGUUCUUUCUAUCUUAAGGCACGUGUCAUGGUUCCAAAGAGUUUUAUGUUAAUUUCAAAGUUAGUCUUAUUGAAAGAUCACAUCGUCACAAAUGUAAUUAUCAAAAUGGAUCGUAAAUCCGAUUUCAAGUGUGUAGAAGAUAUUUACCAAUUAAACUUGUGCGUGAAGAUUUAAUAGACAUUAGUAGAAAAACUACCUUACGUGAGACACAUUAGUCCUGGUUCGAUUUUGGCCCGGUACUAAUGGUACCAUUAGUCCCGGUUCGAACGGCUAUGCAUUAGUCCCGGUUCGUGUUGAACCUUUAGUACCGGUUCAUGCCACGGACCGGUACUAAAGGGGUGGUGGCAGACUGGCGUCAGGCCGGGGCCCCACGAGCCCCUUUAAUGCCGGUUUGUGACACAAACCGGGACUAAAGGUCUAACGUAUAGUCCCGGUUUGUGUCACAAACCGGCACUAAAGGGGUCUUAACCUAUAGUCCCGGUUGGAGACACAAACCGGCACUAUAGGGCAAUUUUCAAACUCUACNNNNNNNNNNNNNNNNNNNNNNNNNNNNNNNNNNNNNNNNNNNNNNNNNNNNNNNNNNNNNNNNNNNNNNNNNNNNNNNNNNNNNNNNNNNNNNNNNNNNNNNNNNNNNNNNNNNNNNNNNNNNNNNNNNNNNNNNNNNNNNNNNNNNNNNNNNNNNNNNNNNNNNNNNNNNNNNNNNNNNNNNNNNNNNNNNNNNNNNNNNNNNNNNNNNNNNNNNNNNNNNNNNNNNNNNNNNNNNNNNNNNNNNNNNNNNNNNNNNNNNNNNNNNNNNNNNNNNNNNNNNNNNNNNNNNNNNNNNNNNNNNNNNNNNNNNNNNNNNNNNCGUAUCGCCUUUUCAGUUUUGAAAAAAAAACCAAAAGAAAAUGAUAAAAACUUCAAAAAUUAAAAUCCUUCGAGAUUUAGCUAUGUUACAUCUAGUAGUUAGGGAAAUUUAAAAACAUAAAUUUCGACAUAUUUUGCAAAAAAACUGUUAUGAAAAAGUAAAACGACUAUAUCUUUUGCAUACGAUGUAAAAAAACGUAUAAUAUAUCAAAAUGUUCAGCACGAAAAUCCGCAUCCGAUUUUGACGGCGUAAGCCGUUUUGCAAAUUUUUAGAAUCCUCAAAUUCUGAAAGGAAAAAAAGUUAUGCUCAAAUUUCAGUUUUUUUAAUUUUGGUUAAAUCUGGUCAAACUGUGGUCAAACUACUUACUCAAGAAAUAUUAGUGUUACUAAAUAAUUAUUCAAGAAUAUUAGUGUUAUUAAAUAAAUAUUUCAGUUUUUUUGAAUUUUGGUCAAAUCUGGUUAAACUAUGGUCAAACUACUUAUUCAAGAAAUAUUAGUGUUACUAAAUAAUAAUUAUUUUUUAGAAUAAUACUUUCAAACUCAAACAGUGAAACGUGUCACUUCAUGCUAAAGCUAAAAUCCUGAGGGUUAAUAGGAUUGACAGCUUACUAUUGUCAAGAAAACAACAAGUGCAGACUUGGAAACUAGGGGGAAUAGAACUCGGAAGUUAAGCGUGCUCAGGCUGGAGUAGUGUACACUUGAGCAGUUACGAGGGGUGAUUAAAGACUAAAUUGUCAAAUAAUUCAGAAAAUUGGAAAUAAAAAAAAUCAAAUUUUUUCCAAAAAAUUUUAAAAAAACCUUUAGUUCAGGUUGGUGUUACCAACCGGGAGUAAAGGUCCCCCAGACCACGGCGCGAGAUCGUGCCACGUGGUUGGCCUUUGGCCCCGGUUCGUGUUGAACCGGGACUAAAGGGGGGACCUUUAGUCCCCACCCUUUAGUGCCGGUUCCAAAACCGAGACUAAAGGUCAUUACGAACCGAUACUAAAUGUCGUUUUUCUACUAGUGAGAAGACUUGGGUGUUGGAAGAGAGAGAAUCUAUACUCACCUCAUUGCGGGAAUCCCAUGGUUGUGUGCAUGGUAUUGUGUGACACUAAAGCAUUAAGUGUAUAGCUAAUAGAUUGACUACAGCGAACCAACAUGUGGUUGGAUGGUUAGGUGGACAGUGGUAUCCUCAACCCAUCAGAGUUCAAGUCCUGGUGCUCGCACUUAUCCUGGAUGUAUUUCAGGAUUUCCGACGAUGCGCGUUCAGUGGGAACUGGGAAGAGACGUUUCCGUCGACUACAAGUACUUUGGGUAGGGUGUGCGUGUGUGCGUUUAAAGAGGUGAGUGUUUGUGUUUGUACUGUGUUAAGAAAAACAGAUUGACUACAUAAAAUAAAAAUUAUUUCAGGAAUUUCGGUGGACAGGGCACACAUCUUGAGAAAAGAACGGAUGGCGCAUGCAUGCAUGGUACUACUAAGGUGCAGCUAGCAUUAGUGUGAAUAAGAACGUGGAAAUCCACUCUCGGUACCCAAUAGCUAGCAUUGGUGUGAACAAGUUUGACAAGAGUAGCUAGCAUUUUCUUUUCUUUUUACGGAGAAAGACCAGGUACCAUUCUUGAAUGUGUAACUUUUCAUCUUGUCACGCUAGGCGAAAUGUGAGUGCUGGCUGUUGCACUGCAGUCCAUUCUAGUGCCAGGCAACUUUUUCUUUUGCAAAGGCUAAUGCAAGAUGACCUGAAACUACAUUUUCUCAGUGCAAAAUGCAUGGCUUGCAUGUGAGUGCAGGCCCCACAUACAAGAUGCCUUAUACCAUUGACCAUACAUAUCAUGCAUACUCACUCUUCGGUUCUAUAUUUUCCUCAUGGAAUUAGCAUCCAAGUUUUUACUUUUUUUCCCCAACAAUUAUGUAUUAUUAUCUGCUGGCAUAUGACCGUGCAACCCAAAGCAAAAGUAAUGUGGUGCAAGCAAAGCAAAGGAUCUAGAGCACGUACGUAGUUCCAUGGAUGGGUGCUUGCUAGCUACUGCUUUGCUACACCACCACCCCGCCCAACGGCCAGAAACGGAAACCUAGCUAGCUAGCUGCAGCAUCCAUCAUAUGCACUGCAAUGUAAUGCAACCCAAGCAAAGGAUUAGAGUAGCUAGUCUCUUUCUGGUCUCUGAUCGGUCGAGGCACAGCCCAGGCAGCUCGAACCUCCGGUCACACACAGACACACAUGCCGCAGCUAGCUACUUUCGUUUUUCUACUCCGGAGCUGGCGAUGGAUGCUGGUGGUGCUGUGGGUGCUGGAGCAACAGCUUAUUACCUUCGGUUUCAAGUUUGUAUAUAGUACAUGGAAUGUACCCAAAUCAGUGCACAUUUUUAUGAUUUGUGCACUCAAAAUUUUAACUCUUACUCAACGUGCACGCUUACUAUUGGUUCCAAAGAGUUUAAUGUUCAUUUCAUCAUGCUUUAAAAGUGAAAUUUCAGUUAUCCCAAAAUAUAUUCAAAAUUAGUCUGAUUUGAAAGAUCUCAUCGUGACGAAUGUAAUUAUGCAAAUGGAUCAUAAAUUCGACUUCACGUGUACAAAAUAUUCACCAUUUUAGCUUGUGUGUGAAGAUUAAAUAGAAGACUUGGGUGUUGGAAGAGAGAGAAUCUAGGUAGUUUCGCCUGGUUGUGGGAAUCCCUGGAGAUCAUUACGGUGCGGCUCCCAUCUUUUUCCCCUCCCGACCCACCCAUCUUGGGUCGCCUCCGCAGGCGGCGGGGAGGGAACCCUAGCCGCCGCCGGUCUCCUCCCCUCCUCCCGCCCCCUCCUCCACCGCCGCCGCCACAGGGCGCGCCCAGGCAAAGCCUGGCCGGCGCUGGCGGUGGCGGGCCUUCUCGUCCCCCGCGUAUGGCGCAGGUGCGGGCUGCUUCCACGGGCCAGCACCGCAGUUGGUGGGUCGCGGCGGCGCGUCGGGUGCCCUUCCGACGAUGACGGCUGGUGGCUGCCGCGGCGCGUCGGGCUGCUGGCUGGAGGGGCGCGCUUGCUGCUCCCGCGCCCCGAUCUGGCGCUGGGAGCUGUGGGCGGCGCGGGGCCGGCGGCCGCUGCGGGUCCUGGACGGCGGUGGCGGCCGGCCGUGGUGGCCCGGUGAGGUUCGGUGGUGGCAGCUGUUGCUGGUGGCUGCUGGAUGUCAUGGGGUGGCGGGGCGUGCUUGGGGAGGCGGUGAUGGACCUUGCGGAUCUGCAUCAGGGGCUCGUCUGGCCGCCGUCUCGUGGGCGACGCGGGAUAUGGUGGCGCGGGCCGGCCGUUGCCGAUGGCUACGGGUGCUGGUGGUGGUGCGGCGUGGUGGUGUGCCCUGUCGGGAGGGUCCGGCGGUAUGGCCGCGGUGACCGGCUUGACUGGGGUGCGGGUGGAGCGGGUCGGUGGGGGCGGCGGCGCUCUCUGGUGGUCGUGCCCCAUCGGCGGCGCAGCGUGGCGGAUGUGAUCUUCCUUAUCCUCGGUCUAGAAUGGCUAUGAUCGAGGGCGCGUGCUCGGGAGGAUCUGAGCGGGGGCCAAGGCGUGUCCGAGUUGCCGCUCUGGGUAGGUGAGAUUGGGCUCGAUCCGGGAUGUACCCACGGGCGGCGAGUCCCUCCCUCCGUGGAUACGCUGGUCGUUGGUGGUGGUCGGGACUUCACGGUACUGUCGGGCAACACGGGGUCGAGGGCCACGGACAUGGCGUUGUCUGAGUCUACUUGGCGACGGCCGUCGGGAAUCAUGGAGGUGUGUCCCCCCUAGUCCACCGGGAUUGGCUGGGGACACGGGGCUGGGGCCCCUACCGUGGUGGCGCCGGCCCAGCCUCCGUGGCCCAUGCCGGGCUAGGAGUGAAAGAUGUGGACUUUCGCUCUUCCUACUAUGGCUGGUAUCUCUGUGGUGUGGGCGGUGGGUGAGGUCUUGGACUUGGAUGCCGGGGCGGCGGCUCCGGAUGGUGGUUCGCAUGGUUGGCUCUCCGGCCGGCGCCAUGUCGGCAGUGGUGGCUCCCUUCUUGGUCGUGCGGGCGACGAGAGGGGUAGCAGUUGGUGGCUCGGGCGCGUCCUCUACUGGACGUUGCCCAGAUCUGGAUCUGGGGGUCUGGGCAUGCCGCGUUUGCCCUAGGGCCUCGGUGACUUAGGGGGGGGGGUGCCGAGCGAAAGCUCCGCGCUUUUGCGCCGGCGACGACGACGCUUGCGGGCGCCGUUCUCUUUUGAAGACGUCGCCAUGGAUCUCCUCGCCGCGUCAGAGUUCCGGGUGAAGACCCUUGCCCGGUGGGGCUAGGCAGCGACGAUGGUCUGCGCCGUUCUCUCUCUUGGGGGCGUUGUCUAGGAGCUUAGGUGUCCUAGGGUGUUGCGUGAUUGUGCUCCAUUCUCCCUGUGUUCUUCUUCGGUAGCGUAGUUGCUGGUCUGCUUCGCGAUCCGGGUAGCCUAGGAUCUGGUUUAUAAGAGGGUCACCUCACCACUAUGUAUCAUUCGGACGUGUACCUUGUUCGGUUUGUGCCUUUAUUUAUAAAGGGGGGCGAGAGCCUGUUUCGAGGGGUGGGAAUCCCUGGUCGUGUGUAUGGUAGUGUGUGACAGUAAAGCAUAUAUCAAGUGGAUACAUAACAGAUUGACUACAUAAAAUAUCAAAUAAUUUCAGUAACUUUGGUGGAUUAGAAGACACACAUCUUGAAAAAAGAAUGGAUGGUGGAUGCAUGCAUGGUACUAAGCUGCAGCUAGCAUUAGUGUGAACAAGUAGCGAGCAUUUUCUUUUGUUUUUACGGGGAAUACGAGCUAGCAUUCAUGAUUAUGUAACUUCUCAUAUUGUCAUAGGCUAGCCGAAAUCUGAGUGCUGAUGCACUGCAGUCCAUUCUAGUGCAAGUGCAAGACAACUUUUUCUUUUGCGAGGCUAAUGCAUGAUGACUUGAAACUAUGUUUUUUCUCAACAACAAAUAAACCACUUCAAACUAGGGUGCAAAACGGAUGGCUGCAUGGUUGCAUGUGAGUUCAGGCCCCGCAUACAAGAUGCCUUAGACCAUUGACCAUGCAUCUCAGGCAAACUCACUCUUCGUUGGUACACCAUGGAGUAUGUUUUCCUCAUGGAAUUAACAUGGGACUGGCUAUAUGUCAGCCGCCUGGAAAAAAAAAGGCCAAUCAUUUUUUCAGCCGUUGGAUGGGAAAUCAAGGGCCGGAUCACCUUCUUCUACCUCCCGCCUUUCUCCCCUCUCCCACUUCCGCCCAGCCGUCUGCUUUCGCCGCCCGUGGCCGGCGGCGUUCCCGCGACCGCUUUGCCUCAUCGCCCUCCCCUGAACCUCUCCCACCGCCGGUCUUGCCGCCGCCCCCGGCUAUCCCCCGGGCGGUGACCGGUUUUUCUCUAGUGAAGUUGCACCAACGCAGUGCUGCCGCCCCCACCACUGUCGUGCUUCCGCCCCCACCACCCACCCCAUCAGCGACAGUUGAUGGGGUAGCCUGCCACCCUACCUCCGUGCUCCAGUGCGGCCUCGCCAUCUCCUUCUUCAUCUCCGGCAAUUGCUUCUUCCUUCUCAAAAUCGACUGACCCAUAUCCAAAAACCAGUUACUGACAUUUAGCUAUUGUGAAUUAACAGCCAUGUAUUUUUACUUUUUUUUUCAAAAAUAUGUAUUUAUGUGUUGACAUGACCAUGCAUCACAAAGUAAAGUAAUGUGGCGCAAGCAAAGCAAAUGAUCCGAUCACACAUGCAAGUGAAGCAGGCACGUAGUUUCAUGGACGGGUGCUUGCUAGCUACUGCUUUGGUACCUAGCUACAGCAUCCGAUCACAUGCACUGCAACGUAAUGCAACCAAAGCAAAGUAUCUAGCAUCUGCCUAUAAAUUCCGGGCAGGGAUCGGUCGACGCACACCCAACCCAAGCAGCUCGAACCUCCGGUCGACACACAGACACAGCCACACAGUCCACGGCUAGCUACUUGCCUUUUCCAGUCCAACACAGGCGAUGGAUGCUGGUGGUGCUGCGGGUGCUGGAGCAGCAGCUGGAGGCGGUGAGAUGGUGGCCAUUCGUGCGGUGGGGAGGGUCCACCUCGUCCUCGGCUUGGUGGCGGUGGCCUUCGCCCUCUGCGUCGCCACCCUACACCCCGAUCUGAAGCAGCAGGAGGGUGAGUGCGUGGCCACCGAGGCGGACGCGGUGACCAUGCGCACCCACGGGAUACUGCUCUUCCUCUCCGCCGGCGCGCAGGCUGCAGCGGCCGCGGUGGCUGCCUUCGCGCCAGAUGCCUGGAGGCAGCUGCAUGUCGCCACGGCCUUCGCGAUCUUCACGAAUGGCGUCGUCAUCCUCACCUACUUCCUCCUCGUCGGCGCCUCCACCGCUGCGGCCGCCGUCACCUUCGGCAGGUGCCCCGGCCACCUGCUCGCCCACAGGGCCAUGUUCAUCGCCCACGUCGUCGUGCUCACCGUGCCGCUCUUGGCCUUUUCCAUCGUCUGCGACAUCGCAAUCUUCUUCGCCCUCAUAUAGUGCCUUGAUUCAUCCAUAUCGAUCCAGCCAUGAUCCACGCCUAGCGAGACUGUCCACUACCUAUAUAUGCUCUGCAGUCGAGUAGCAGUACUUCUUUUUUCGAGAGCACGCAAAGCGCGUGCCUUACUUUUAUAGAAGAGAGCAAGCAAAAUUUACAAGAGAGUCUAACGAGCGCGAGGCACCCGAAGACAACACACGCACACCACCACUCCUACAAGAUAACAAGAGCUAAUCCCUCACAAAACGUUGCAAGCUACCACCUCCCUGAAUCGCCAUCUUCCACUCUUUGAGCUCCUCAAGGAUCUUCUUCACGAGUUCUUGUGCGUCCACUUGUUGCUCCGCUCUGUUGAACACCCUGGCGUUCCUUUGCUUCCAAAGUGACCAUGUCGUGCAAAUGACCAUGGUGUCGAACCCACGCUUAUCUUCCUUCGCAAAAACCAAUCGCUGCGACAUCCACCAUUCCACAAAGGAGUCCGUACUCACUGGGCAAGAGAUCUGGAUACCUAACUUGUCGAAACAACCCAUCCAAGUGGCUCGCGCGUAGCCACAUUGCACCAAGAUGUGGUCAACAGUGUCUUCGUCCUGUAAGCAAGUAAAGCAGGCCGAGGUGUGAUCUUGUAACCCAUGACGAGUGCGUCGAUCCGCCGUCCAUAAGCGAAGUUGGCAAGCCAACCAAGCAAAUAUCUUGCAUUUUAGAGGUGCAAGCACUGAAAAAAAUAGCGCGCUAUAGCGUCGCUAAUAGCACGCUGUAGCGUAUUGAGAAUUUCCUCGCUAAAUAUAUCGGUGUACAAUGUGUCGCUAAUAGCAUGCUAUAGCGUGAUAUAGCACGCUAAUAGCAUAUUUUGAGGUCGGCGCUAUUUUGUUGUAGCGCGCUAUUUUUUUCAUUGGGUGCAAGGCUUCUCCAGAUGGCUACGGCGUAAGGGCAGCUCGGCAGCCCCUCACAAAGACAAGAGUAUGUGGAUUUCGCCGAGUAUGCCAUGGAGAAAGCGCAAGGCCACAGAAAACUGUCAGGCGCCUGGUCAUCACGCUGCACCGAAGCAAUGGCGUGCCUCAAAUGCAUGAGCUGAAUAAGAGCCAUGUGCGAGGAGAUGAAGGGGAUAUCCAGAGACCAGUGCUCCUCCUUGAGUGCCCAUUGCACUGUCCUGGUGUUGAUGCGGCGCGUGUCGACCAUCUCGAAGAUGAGGGGCGCGAUGUCUAGCACAGAGUGGCCAUGUAUCCAGCGAUCCUUCCAAAAGAGAACUCUAUCUCCACGUCCCACCUCAAUGUGCACCAAGCAAUCGAAAAUGGCUCGAGCUUCCGGGUCAAUCAUGCCGAGACCUUGCCAAGGCCGCUCGGGCUCAGUUUGCCUCAACCAUUCCCACCUGAUUCGCAGGGCAAGCGCUUGAACUCUCAAGUUUUUAAUGCCGAGCCCUCCAUAUUUCAACGGGCGGCAGAUUUUGUCCCAAGCAACCAAACACUGCCCGCCAUGAACCUUGUCCUUUCCGGCCCAAAAAAACGACCGCAUCCAGCUAUUAAUGUCUUCGAGAACCCACGCGGGCGGCUGCAACACCAAAAGCUGAUGGAUUGGCCGGGCAGAAAUGACUGACUUUGCAAGAACCAGCCUACCCGCUCUCUGGACAAGCCCUCUAUGCCAAGCGGGCAUACAUUUUCUCACCAAGUCGAGCAACGGUUGCCAGUCUUGCUUCGUUAGCUGUUUGACAGCUAAUUGCAAUCCCAAGUACCGACAAGGAAACUCCGCAAGGUUGCAAUGCAGGAUAUCAACAACACGCUCUUUGUCCUCGAGAUCACCAUGGAUGAUAGUGGCAGAGGAUUUCAUGUAGUUAACCUUGAGACCAGAAGCUUCACCGAACAUGUCCAGCGCGCACUUAGUGAAGCUGAGGUCGGUGGUAGAAGGAUGAACGAAAAGCGCCACAUCGUCUGCAUAGAUGGACACCCUUUGCCAAGCUGAGAUACCUCUGUAUGCCGCUAGCACUCUCUGCUCCAAGGCCUUGCCAAAGAUCAUGGUAAGGGCGUCCAUAGCAAUCACAAAGAGGAGUGGUGAGACGGGAUCACCUUGUCGAAGACCACAAGCAUGCGCAAUACUUCUUCCCGGCACUCCAUUGAUUAGUAUCUUGGUGGUAGCAGUUUGGAGCAGGAUCGAGACCCACCGGAUCCAUUUGUUACCAAACCCUUUGGCUCUUAAGACCUCGAAGAGAAAAGGCCAUGAGAUAGAGUCGAAAGCUCUCGAGAUGUCCAGCUUCAGGAAGACUCCUUUACUUCUCCUUGCCGCAAGCUUCCCGGCCACUUGUCGAACCAAGAGGAAGUUAUCAUGCAGAUUUCUACCUCUGAUGAACGCCGAUUGGUUGAUGGUGACCAAGUUUUUCAUGUUCGGUCGCACUCUAGUGGCAAGUAGCUUCGCGAAGAUCUUGGCCAUGCUAUGCGGCAAGCUGAUAGGGCGAUAAUCUCCCACUCUUUCAGCAUCCGGUUUCUUAGGCAGAAGCACAAUAAGGGCACGGUUCAACUUGGAGAAGCCGUGACCAUCGCCCACAUAAAGCUUCAACAGGACAGCCAUAAUGUCAUGUUUGAUGAUCGACCAGGCCUUUUGGUAGAAAGCUCCGAUGAAUCCGUCCGGUCCCGGGGCUCUGUCCAGGUGGAGUUCUUUGAUGACACCCCAAACCUCGUCUUCGGUAAAUAUAGCCUCAAGAUCAUCCAGAUUUGAAGGCUCCAUGCCGAGAAAGUUGAAAUCAAGGGUGUGUUGUCUAGCAUGAGCCGUGCCAAUGAUGCCCUGAUAGGUCUCCGCGAAAACUUGCUCCAUACGAUCAUGAUCUGUGAUCAUCUCAUCACCAUGCUUGUUCAGCGGAAUGAAAUUCUUCGCUCGCCUCCCAUUCGCCACGGCCUGGAAGAACUUCGUAUAGGCAUCACCUUCUUUAAGCCAUCUGAAUCUCGAUCGCUGCCUGUCGAUGGUUCGUUGCAGCGAGGCCAAGCCGAGCAGAGCAAGUUUGAGAGAAUUCCUAAGCCAACGCUCGAGCUCCGUAAGGUCCCUACGCUCCAUGACAAUAUCGAACCUGAGAAUGAUCCAGGUAGGCACAUCCAUUUGCAGCUUGAUGUUGCCGGUCUUGCGCUGCCCCCAAGCUUGAAGGGCGAUGGCAGUGUUGCGUAACUUCUCAUUAAACAUCUGGAAAGGAUCAGUAAUCCCUUCGUCGCAAGUCCAAGCCUCGCGCACAACCUCUUCAAAGCCUUCCAGUUUGUGCCAGAACAACUCGAAUCUGAACCUCUUCUUAUGGUGGAAAGGGGCGUUGGUAGUUAGAUAGAGAGGCGCAUGAUCAGAAAUCCCGGUAGACAAUGCCUGCAGCAGAUUCUCCGAGUGAUCCAACUCCCAAUCAACAGAUACCAAGACGCGGUCAAUCUUGGUGAGCGUAGGUCUCUCCCUCUCAUUAGACCAAGUAAAGUUCCUUCCGUGCAUGUAUAGCUCCUUGAGCUCGUAUUCGUCCACGAACCGUCUGAAUUUGUUCAUCAUGCCUCUAUUGAGGUUGUUGUUGCAUUUUUUCGAAGCUCUAAGGAUCAUGUUAAAGUCCCCUAGAAUCAUCCAAGCUCCCGGGCAAGUUUCUCUUCUCGAAGAUAAAUCCUCAAGAAACUUGGUCUUAAGCUCAUCGCCUGGCGGCCCGUAGACCACCAAAAUCCACCACGCCGUGCUUCCUCUAGGUUGCACCCAACCCGUUAGGAAGUUCGCAUCGUUCUGCACCCUCAUCACAUCCACGUUGGUGGAGUCCCAAGCCAGCAGAAUGCCUCCACGAGUUUCCACCGAAGGCACAUAAGCAAAACCAUCAAAAGAUGGCCCUAAACAUUGCAUGAUAGUGUACUGAUCUAUUACAUCCAAUUUCGUUUCCUGCAAGCACACUAGGCUACACUUGGCAGUGCCAAUGAACUCCUUGACUGCCUUCCUUUUGGCCGGGUUGUUGAGGCCACGAAUGUUCCAACAGAUAAGUGCGGGGCUUAGAUCCAUGACAAGCGUAGCCACCCACACCGUCUCGCCGCGCGUGAAGCUUAUGCAGCCUCGACGCUUCUCACCAAACUUGUCUCUGGAUCUUGCAUUGGGACGGUCUUGCCAAACAAAGCCGCGAUCACUCUCACGUGCUGCUCUCUGAGGGGGGAGUCGAACAAGUCUUUGAGCUCUUGAACCGCCACGUCAUCAGCGGUGAGGUCCUCUGGAACCAGGCCAAGCGCCCUUAGCAACACAUUCUCAGCCGGUGUGGCCUUGGUGGUGCAAGUGGAAGCCGAUUUCUUCGUCACGCGCGUGGUGCGCCUAGGCGUGAAAGGCUCCGAUCGUGGCCGCAGCGUUGCAGNN